GUUUUUUUUUUGGUCUUAUGGAACUUAGUACAAUGUAAUAAUGUAAGCAUGCAUCUAGCGGUGUUGUUGCAUAAAUAGAUCAUGUGUAAGUGUUCAAGUAUAAUGAAUUUAAACACUUUUUGCUAUGUAGUCAACAAAGUACAUUAUAUUGUGAAAUCCUUUAGUGCUUUGGAAACCAAAAUCUUUUUAGUCCCGUAGAAUGAAUGAUUAGUCUAAGGUCUAGUUUAAGAAUGUUUCUCAAAAGCAUUUUUUAGAAAAAAAAAGUACUUUUGAGGCAAAAACAUUCCUAAAUAAAUUGUUUUUUGAGAGAGAGUACUUAUCUCAAGCCAAAAAUUAGCACAAAAAUAUUUUUUUCAAAAGAUGAAAAUUUUAACUUCUCCUCAAAAAUAUUUUUUUCCAAAAAUACUUUUGAGAAAUAUUCUUAAACUAAGCCUAAAUAUAAAUUUUUAAUAAACACUUAAAAGAUGCGAAUGAUGCUUGAGGAAUUUGUGCGUUUGAAAUAGUAAAAGAUGUUUGAGAAUACUAAUUAUUUAAAAAAGAUAAGGUGCCUAGAAAGACGAAGGAUGGUUGAAAAAGUUGUGUGCAUGAAAAUGUGAAGUAUGCUACGUGAGUAGAAAGAUGAAGGAUGCCUAAAAAGGUUGUGCUUGAAACGAUAAGGAUUGUUUGAAAAUCCAUGCUUGAAUGCCAGGGUGAUAUUUAUCCCUAUGAGACUUUCAAAAAAGAAGAAGCUCUAAUUAUUUAUAAUAUAAUAGUGAUAUGAUGCUAGUGAAGGAAUGUCUAAAAAGACUAAAGUGCAAAAAUGAAGUGUGCCUAAGAAGACUAUGUGCUUGAAGAAGCAAAGCAUGCCUAAGAAGGCUAAGCACCUGAAGAAGUGAAAUGUGCUUGGAAAGACAAUAUGUGCUUAAAAAGACUAAUUAUCUAAAAAUGUGCUUCAAAAGUUUAAACAUGCCCAAAAAGACGAAACUAGACUUAUAUUCAUGUUAGUAAUUAUUUACAAUAUAUAAUUAUAAGUAAACUUGAAAAAAUUAAACAAAAUUUAUCUCGAAAUACGUUAACAUGAUAUUUAAAAAAAAAAUAAAGUUGGUAAUUAUCUAUAAUAUAAAUCAUACCUUAAUCAAGGUAUAUCUAAAAAUGGUAAAGGACAUUUACCAUGAAAGUAUGUCAUGCGAUAUUUGUCCCCGUAAAAUUUGGGAAAAACAUUAGUAAUUAUUUAUAAUAUAUUAGUUAUAUGAUGCUUAUCUUUUUAUGAGGUAUGUAUGAACACGAGCUCUAUAUUUCUCUUCGUGAGGUGUGCACCGUAAUGAAUUUUGGCCAUGUACAUCAACUAAGACAAAAGUGAGAUAGUAAUCAAAUAUAUUCAAGAGUUUAGCACUACCUUUGCACCAACAAAACUCUUGGUGAGGUAUGUACCACUUACACUUGCACCAACAUGAAUUCGGGCGUAGUAUGUACUAAUAUUCGGUUUGGUGAGGUAUGAAAACGUACGAAAACAUAAUAUACUUUCGCGUAAUAUGAAUUCAAAAUAUAUAUACCUCACCCAUAUAUUAUGUUUAACUUAAUAUAUUUAUUGAUUGAAUCUUAGUUCGAUUGGUAUAAAUAUUGUUGUCAAUGUAGGAGGACGUAAGUUCGAGUGCGCUUAACUGCAUUAUUCUCCUAUUUAUGAGAUGAGGAAGGACUAUGAGUAAUUUUAAGUAUUGUGUCAAAUAAAAAAAAUCAAGAGAUAAAUUAUUUAUUGUGAUAUUUUCCAUUUACUCUAAUGAUUUGUUCCAAUUUUGCAUCAAAUAAUUUUAAAAAUAUUAUAAAAAUAAUAUUAUUCUAAAUAUCUUAUAAAUUAUUAUUUAUGUAAUAUUAUAUUUUAGUUUGUAUAAUAUUUAAUAUUUUGAAAUUUUAUAUUUUUUAAGGAAAGCUCAAUCAUUAUGUUAAAAGUUAUAAGCUAAGGAAACAAAGCAUAAGUCGAAAUAAGAAGGGAACAACAUACUAAAUCUAAGUUAUCAGGCUUACCCCAUACACUUAAAUCUAGUUUUCUUUAUGUUAAUGGCAGAAAUACUAUGAGCAUCAAACUCAGGAGUAGAACGAAAACACUUGAGGACAAUAUUCCACUCAACAAAAGUAGCAUAUAGUAAGGUUGAUCGUGCUAAAUUAUGUGCCACUUAUUGGCAACUCGGUUCACCCAAGAGAAAACUAAAACACUAAAGUGGGACACAAGCAACAAAACAAUCCUGAAAUCCCAAACUCUAAUAUAUUCGAAGUUGAACCAAAAAGUGCGUUAAUCACCUGUAUCAAAUCCGAUUCCAUGGCCAAGAUUUAAUCCAUGAAGCCGAGAGAGCUUCUUUGAUUGCAACGGCCUCUGCUAGCCGAGGAGCCAAAGAAGAGUCAAUAUGUCCCGACAUAGCUUUCACAAACUUACCCUUCUAGUCCCUGACAGUAGCCGCAAAACCCGUAGCAUUUUCCUGGCAAGAAUAAGCAGCAUCAAUAUUACAUUUAUACUUGCCCAUACAAGGCUUCUCCCAUCUAUGCUGACGCCCAAGCUGCUCCGCGUUACUUGCACUAUCAACAGAUCAUACCCCUUCAUUGCGUCACACCAAUUCAGUAGAAAAGAAGUAGCAAUGUUUACAACAUGAUAAGGGGUCGAAAAGGUUCCUUUCCAGCACAAUAAAUUGCGAUGGUACCACAGACUCCACAUAAUAGACAGAACCCAAUCCUGCCUGCUGCUAUCCUAAGAACUCAACGCAUUAGCAAUAAAGUCCACAACCGGCAAAUGAGCAGGUUGAUAACCAACAUGCUGUCAAACCGAUUUCGAAAAAGAACAACCAAGAAGCACAUGAUCUAGUGAUUCCUCCUACCCACGGCAAGCAUAUGCAACAGACAUAUUGACACCUCGGUAAGAAGUUUCUAAGGCAACGCCAGCAAAAAUCCUUUGUCUUUGGCGGUAAAGAAGAAGCCCAGAACUGAUCCCAUGGCCCCGCAAAGUGCAGAGACAAAAGAUUCUGUGACCAUGAGAGCGCGAAUCUGUACCCCGAAUUUACACUGUAAAAUCCAUUCGGGUUAAAGUGCCAAAUAAGCUAAUCGGGCUGCAUGUGUCGACCAAUCGGAAUACUAAAAACAUGAGCCACAUCGUGCGGAGACAACACCCCCUCAUCAAAGCUUCGAUCCCAGCCCAUCCCAUCCUCGGUCAUAAGCAUCUUUACGUACAGCUCUUCAAGCCCCUCAAUAGGCACCUUUUCAACAUAAAACGUAGCCUCAUUAUUCAACCAAGGAUCAUUAAAAACCUGUAUGGAAGCUCCAUCCCCCACACACCACUAAAAGCCAUUCCCAACAAGCUGCUUAGCCGCAUAAAGACUCCUCCAGACAAAAAAAAGGUUACCAUCUUCGCUGGCAUAAAAAAAACUCACCCGAUUUCUGUAAGCCCAUAACACCAAAUUUCAUUAGUUUUUUUUUUAAUAAUGAAUCAAAGCCAUUAAAAAUUGGAGUGAAAUUAUAAAAAAUAUUACAAUACUAUGAGAAUGGAAGAUAACUUAAAAGAUCUAAAGAUGUGGUAUUGAAAUCCAUUAUAUUAUAAAAUCUUGACACUAUGAAUAAUAUUAUUAUUACCAACUGAAAUUAAUCUAUAUGAGAUUCCGAAAUAUAAAAUUAUCAUUGACAAUAUUAAAUUUUGUGAACCGACCACUAAAAUGGCUAAUAAGAAAUACAGUAUGUACAUUAAAGUGGCCUUGACCUUAGAUAGGCCAGUGAUAUAAAAGUAUUAUAAAAAACAAAUAUCCCAUCAUAAUAAAUAUUAAUUAUAAUUUAAAAAAGUGAUAUUUUAUAAUUUUAUAAUUUAAAAUUUAAUAAUUAAUUAAAUUUAUUAAAAAAUAUUUAAUUUAAUAAUAAAUAUAAAAUUAUACACUAUUAAUAUAUCAAAUAAUACAUAAAAUUAAAUAAACACUAUGCUAAUGUACAAAUUAUCUAUCCACUUUUGCCUUAUCUUGCCGGGCUUUCUUUUCACAGGAGAAAGAUAUGGAAAAAAAACACAUGUAGUAAAAUUUAUGUAGAUAUUUGUCCAGAUCGAGGAAUGUACAGUAGGUUAAUUAUCUUUUCAUCCAAAUUAUAGAAUAAAAAUUAAAAUUUAAAACAUGAUUUAAUUUUCUUUAUUUUUCAUAUAUUUGAAAUUUUAGUCUUCAUACUUUUAUUUUUAAGAAUUUAGUUUUUUUAUUUUUUAAUUUAAAAAUUUAGGUAUAAUUAUUAACAUUGUUAAAAUUCUUCUACUAAAUUUAUUAGCGUGACAUUUUAGAAUUAAAAAAACAAAACUCCUAAUAACCAUAUAACAAAAAGUGAUAUUAUAAUAGACCUAAGUUUAAUAGAGAAUUUUAACAAUUCUUAAAAGUAUGCAUCAAUAUUUUAAUUAGAAUAACACAUUUAAACUAACUAAUCAAGUAUAAAAAUUGAGAUACUAAAUUAUAUAAAAAUUAAAGAAUAAAAUUAAAUCGAAAAUUUAAAUAUAAUAUAGAAUAAAAACUCAAAUUUCACCAUUAUUAUAUUCUUUAAAAAAAAGUUGUAAGUAUGUAACAUGUGUCACAUAAUGUCACAACAUUUCUUUAUAUAUAGAGAGUAUAUAGUUAAAUUACCUAGGAGUUCCUGUAUUAUAGGGGCUAAAUUAAGUUAGCCCAUUUAUUAUUAAAUAGAUUAAUUUAAUCUCUAUAUUAUUAAAAAGAAUUAAAUGAGUCUAAAUUAUUAUAAACUUAACAUUUAUUGUAUAAAAAUGGCUUUUUUUUUUCAAUUGUCCUUCAAUUUCAAAUAAAAGAUUUCAUUUACAGAACUAUAAAAACUUAAAAAAAUAUUAAUUUUGCUAAACAGUAAAUAUUUUUUUAAAUAAUAAAUGUUAACUCUAUUCUAAUUUGAUAUUAUUUGAUUCUUUUAAAUAAUACAAUGACUAAAUUGAUCCAUUUACUAGUCUGGGGACUAAUUUGAUCAUGUCCCUAUAAUAGAGGGACCUCUCAAAUACAUUCACCAUAUAGAUACCAUAUGAAUGUACGAAUAAUUAAAUUUAAUUAAUCAUAUUAUUUUUAUUUUUUAAGUUACAAAUUUCAUUAAAAUUUCACUCAUUAUAAAACACGAUUCAACUUAUAACAAAAAUAUAUAUGUACUAAAACUAAAUAAUUUUAGGGCCCUUUUGGAUGGGCGUUUACUUCCAGUGUUGUGCAUUUAGCUUUCUUUUCGUCUUACACUGUAGUAUUGCUUCAAUAUUUAAUCUCACCGUUGUUUUUACACUAAUCGUAAGUAAACGCACUAUAUAUCUAAUGAAAAAUCAGGCUAAAAUUUACAUUUACGAUAUAUAUCAAUUAUAAAGGAGAUUUUUAUUUAUUUUUAUAUUAAAAUUAGUGAUUUUAUUUUCUAAAUAUCUGAGAAAAUAUAGGAGGAGAAGGGCCAUUGGGAGAAAGAUAAGAGAGGAGAUAUUAUUGAGGGUGGGUCCAACACCAAUAGUUACAUAUUACCAAACUUGUUAAUUGAUUAUGUAUUUUAAUUCGGUAGCUAAAAAAUAUAUAUUUUUAUUAUUUAAUUUAAUAAAAAAAUUUAGAAAAGCAAAAAGAAGAGAUGAUUGCAAAAUUUUAUACUAUUUUGUUCAAACUUAUUUUAUAUUUUUAUAUUUCUUCCCAGAAUGAAUGUAUAUAUUUUUAUUUAUAGAAAAUUUUUAUUUAUUUUAUGUUACAUUUUAGUUAUUUAUAUUUAAAAUGUUACUUUUUAAUUACUUAUGUUAAUAUGUUGUAACAUUUUAGUCACUGAACUGUUAAUUACCGUUAACGGUGCAACGAUAAGCUAAUACAUUACGUUAAAUCAUCAUUUCAAACAAAAAUGUAAGGUUAAAUUAUACAAUUGGUCCCAUUAUUUUUUUUAUGUUCUUUUAACUUUUUUUUCUUUUUUCUUUAUUUCCUAUUAUUUUCUGCUUCUCCCUCUGUUUUCCUCCUUUCUCUAUAUCUUUUAAGUACUUUUUCUAUAUUUUCUAUUUGUUAAAAUAAAGAAAUAAAAAAAUUGUUUAAAAAAAUAAAAUAUACAAGGGAAUGGAGAAUUCAAAGAUUCCAAUUCUACUUUGGUCAAGAGAAUUUACCAGCUCUUGACAUCCAUAGGGGAAUGGAGAUUACAAUAUAUUCCUAGAGAAGAAAAUGAAGUCGUAGAUGACCUUAUCAAGAUAGUUCAAGACAGGAGAACAAGAUUAAGAUUACUUGAGGAUUCACGUGGGAGGGAUGAGUUUAAUAAACUGUUUGAUGAUCUUGUGAGAGGAAUUAGUUUAAUUUCUUAUAUUUGUGUCGCUUUUUCUUUAAAAAAAUAAGAAAAUUAUCUUUUGUAACCAAUAAAAUAAAUGGAAAUCCUCUUGCUUUAAGCCGAAUAAAAAAAAGUAAUUAAUAAUAUUACUUCAUGGUUAAAAUUGAACUGAAAUAUCUUAAACAAUAUGUCUUAUCCACUAUUCUCAUUUAUGAUAUCUAAAAGGUCUUAUCUAUAUGCAUAAGAUAUUUUCCUAAAAUUAAAUGAAUUUUAUUACAACCUUAAAAAAAUCCAAAAUAAUAGUAAGAAUUAUUUUCCUUUCUAUGAUUAAUAAAGUAAAACUUCAUUUAAGAUUAUGUCGAUUAUAUUUAGAGUAUAGUAACUUAAUAAAAUAAUAAUAAUAAUAAUAAACACUUAAUAACAUGCUAAAGUAGCUUUUAAUUUUUUUAUUCAAGCAGAAUAAAUAAUCACUCAAGUGAAAGGAAAAAGGUUUGAAUAUUAUAUUUUUAAAGAAAGAAUCUUUUUACAAAAAGGGAAACCAAACAGAACUUUUCCCUCUUAAAAGAUCUUUCCCAAAACAAACUGCCUUCGCCUUUUUUUUUAUAAAAAGACUAAAAUAUUAACAGAUAUUUUAAUUAUUUACUUUAAAGUACUUUUUAAAAUAUUUUUAAAUAAAUUAUACUUUAGGUGAUUAAAUUAUUAUUAGAUUUAUGUUUUAAUUAUUUAACAUUAAAAAUUAUAAAAUUAUUAUUGAACUAUUUGAAAGUUUUUAUUUAAGUUAUUGGUCUGUUAAAAUUAUUAUUGUAUAACUUUUUUUGUUCGUACCAACUAUACCAAUUGAAAACUCUAUUUCCCCUUUCUUCUAUAGUUUAUUUUUUUUAUGAAAUAAAUUUGAAUGUCAUGAAUCUGUUAACCAAAUCCAAACAACUUUCUUCUCCAAUCUCUAAUACUAACUAUAAGAUCAAUUUGGAUCUAAUGUAUGCUUUUCUACUUAUCAAUGGGUAUUGAUCUAUUAUACCAAUCAUCGAAUUGUCGCUUAGAGUUCUCCAGCCGAACUUAAUUUUUUUUUUACAUCUCAAUGACUUAAAUAAAAGCUUUCGAAUAGUCCGAUAACUAUUUUGUAACCUUUUGAAUUAAGCAACCAAAAUGUAAACUUACUAGUAGCUUUUUAAGUUUACCCAUAAUUUUUUUAUGUUUUAUUUGUAUUAAAUAAAAGUUUUCACUUUGGGUUAUUGCACUUUUUGGGCUCAAAUUUGUCAAUUAUUUUCAAUUGGAGCUUUAAUUUUUUUUGCUCAAGUUAGUCCAUGAAUUUGAUAAUUGUUCCUAUAUUAGGGUUUAAAAUUUUUUUUAUCCAAGUUAGUUCUUAUAUUUUCUUAAAAAUUGAACCUAAAAAAAAUUCAAAUCCCAGCAUGAGAAUAAUUAUCAAAAUUAAAGACUAACUUAAAUAAAAAGAUUUAAACCCCAAAAGAACAAUUAUCUAAUUCAAUUUCAACGUGAAAACGAAUUUUCAAUUGAGCCAAAAAAAUUGAUUUCUCUUUUAUUUAUUUUUGACACAAUGUCUAAAGUUAUUCCUAACCUAUAAAUAAGAAUAUAAUGCAUUUUAAUACGUUUAAAUUCCAUCUUUCUACAUUAAACAACGAUAAAAUGACAAAAAAAACUUGUAUUCAAAAUCUUUAAUUAACACUCAUCCCUAUUCAAUAUUUAUAUUAUAAAAAAAAAACCUGUAACCCCCUCAUACAUCAAAAAAGAAAAGCUUUUAUUAUUUUAGCUUUUAUAUACUUAUCUGCUUAGCAAAAAAAUAGAAAAUAAAAGAAAAACCUCGAAAAUUUCCAAACUUUAAUUUUCAAUCCAAAUCCAAAUCUCAAAAAAUCUUUCUUCUCAGUUUUUCAUGCAAAACAUAAACAACUAGACAAUUAUCACCAACAAAAAUCUUCAAGCUGGUUGUUAAAGCUUAAAUUUUAAUUCAUGACAUUGAAGUUCAUAGCAAGGCUAAGGUCAAGCCGGGUGGUUGUUCAAGACCAACUGGAAGUUCCAGACCAAGCGGCUGUUGGCGGCGGUGGCGACGGUGAGGACUGUUGCUGGGCCAAACUGCCGCCGGAAUUGUUAAGAGAAGUUCUUUUAAUGAUCGAAGACUCUGAAACUCGUUGGCCUCAAAGAAAAACUGUGGUGGCUUGUGCCGGCGUUUGCAGUAGUUGGAGGCUUAUCGUUAAAGAGAUUGUUAAAUUUCCUGAAAUUUCCGGAAAAUUAACUUUUCCCAUCUCAGUUAAACAGGUUUUUAUAUUUACUGUAUAAAUUGGAUUAAAGUCCUUUGAUGAAUGAAAUUGUUAGUAAUAUUAUGAAUGGAAGUAUUUUUAAAUUUAUAUAUUUCACGGUGAGCAGUAUUCGAUCUUCUGUAAUUGGAAUCUCUUUGCAGCCUGGUCCUAAGGAUGGUCUCCUCCACUGCUUUAUAAAACGGAACCGAUCCACUCACACAUAUUGCCUUUACCUUAGUUUAACUAAUGGUGAGAUUAUUGUAGUUGCCUUACUUGGAUUCGGGUGUGAGUGUUAGAUAUGUGUCAUGUUCUAAACUGUCUUUUCAUAUCUCUGUGGCAGCACUAACAGAUGAUGGGAAGUUCCUUCUUGCUGCUCGCAAGCAUAAGCGUCCUACACACAAUGAUUAUAUCAUCUCUUUACGGGCUGAGGAUAUGUCAAGGGGGAGCAGUUCUUAUGUUGGGAAAUUGAGGUGAGUAGUUACUCGACUCUAAUGUGAGUGUCAUAUACAAAUACGUGUCUGACAUGGAUAUAUAUUCAAUUUAUACAUCUUUGAAAGCUCACAACUUAUAUUCAUGUUUGGAUGUGUUAAACACAGAGGUUGAAUACAGAUGUUUUGAGAAAAAAAAAAGUUUGAGCAAUGUAAGCUAUAGACAACAAAUUUAUGUUUUUAUUUUUCUUUUUGGCAAAGAUCAAAUUAUUUAGGGAACAGGUACACCAUCCUUGCUGGUCAAUCAGCUCAUACUGGUUCAAAGAUGGCUAAAAAUCACUCUCCUAGGCUACCUAAUUUGAAACAUGCUUCAUCUAAAGUCCAUUUCGUCAACUAUUCCAUGGCUCAUAUUUCAUAUGAAUUGGAAGUUUUUGGUUCGAGGUAAGAGUUUUUUGUUAUUUUGCAUAAGGAUUUGAUGAUUUCUUAUUCUAUUUGUCAUAUCUAGCAUUUCGAGUACCCGUGUCAGAUAUGAAAACACCGAACCAUACAUAUGUCAAACACAUAUCCAUACCCAAAGUUGCUUUUAAGUCCGAGUAGGUGAUACAGAUAUAUUUUAUAUGACUUCUAGGGGUCCAAGGAGAAUGCAAUGUAUCAUGGGUACCAUCCCAACCGCUUCUACCGCGCCCGAAGAGCCAGCUCGAGCCCGGUCAGAGUUUUCUGGCCUCAAUACGGACAUAUUCCAAUCAAAUCCGAUUGCUCAUUCAGAACCAGCUAGCAUGGGCAAUUUUCUGUCAGGAUCAUUGUGUGGUCAAAAGAAUGGUGCAUUGGUGUUGAUAAACAAGGCUCCAAGGUGGAAUGAACAACUCCAUUGUUGGUGCUUAAACUUCCAUGGACGAGUGACAGUUGCUUCGGUUAAAAACUUUCAGUUGGUGGCUUCUCCGGAAAAUCGAAAGAUUGUACUUCAGUUCGGGAAAGUUGGGAAAGAUUUAUUCACCAUGGAUUACCAGUAUCCAAUCUCUGCAUUCCAAGCAUUUGCCAUCUGCCUCAGCAGCUUUGACACUAAGGUUGCUUGUGAAUGAAGAUAUCUAUGUUCGAUAUUCAUAUCCAAUAAUAAUUAAAAAUAAAUAAAAAUCGAUCCAAAAUUUAUUCGAUUUUCAUUUUAUAAAAGGGAGAGUUAAAAGAGAAUUGGUGUAUAUACUGCAAAUAUUUGCUUAGCUAUGUCUUUGCAGUACUCAGUCAAAUGGUACAAUCUUUUUUUUUUUUUCCAAUCCAAUAUCUUCUGACUUCUGGUACCUUACAAGGAUGCUAUCUACACAUAAUUGUCCUCUCUACUUAAGCUGAUUGCAUGUGGAUGCUCAGAUUUGACCUUGUAUGUACAGAAUCUGUGGCGGUGGUGGUGCCUUCUUUAGUAGGCAGAUUGCCUGAAUGCAGUUCAGGUUGGUUCAGUUUCCGGACAAACUCAAUGAACAAAGGAAAAUGCUCCGGUGCGAAGAAUUGAGCUCCAAUCCUCUGGAAAAUGAACGAGUCAUUAAGAUUCUCACUCAACAUGUUCUUCUUGAUCUGCUUAAGACCAUCAGGAGCUCCGACAGUCGAGUUCUGGCCGGAAAUUCCGACCCCGUGUUUGUUGCAAGCUGUUCCAAUUUCAGCAAGUAAUGAUUCAGGGCUUGAGAGAGAUUCCUUAAGCUGGUACUUAUCUGACUGGUCCAUCCCAGGCAAGAUGAUUUUGCAUGAAUUCCUUGCAAACAUCUCUGCAACUUCUUCGUAGCCUUUUCUCGUGGCAGUGUUGUAGAAGCCAGCUGUGAGCUCGGAAGGAUGUGAACGGGUUCCGUGCCAAGAGUGCAUCAACGGGACUUUCCCGAAAAUGUUCACUGCACUAUCACUGAAAACCGAAGAGGCAAGUGAGAGUAGGCGAUCUCCAUGAGCUAUGAGCUGGCUUGAGUACCAAGAAAGAAAGAAAUCACCAUAAGGACUUUCCCAAGAUCCACCAUGAUCCUUGAAGAAGGUGUUUGCUGUAGGCAACUCGCUGUUAGCGGGUGCAUCAUGAGGGCCACCUAGUCCCCACUUUGGCUUUCCGCAUGCUUCGGCAUGUUGCUUAAGAAGGUGAAGCAUGUUUUUGUCGUAACAUUGGAACUCCCCAGCUCCCGGAACUGUGUCACUUUUGGCAAACCCACGGUGAGAUGGAUACCGAAGCUCACCAUCUGGUCCGAGACCCAUUGUGAUUCCCUGCAAAACCACAAUACAGAAGCCAUUAACAUCAAAACAGGGUCUAAUGACAUUGCCUUAUUUGACAAGCAAAACCAACUACCAUGAUCGUAGAACCGAUGAAAGCCGAAAAAGCCGACUUGAAGCUUUCGCAGAAAUCCUGAUACACUUGCAUUGGAGUCUUCCCAUUAAGAACAGCAAGCUCAUCAACAGCCAGUGAAAGACAUCCUCGGUAAGGCUUUCCAGCUCGAUCCUUGAAGAAGAUAUUGGACUUGGUUUUCCCAAUAUCAAGUACCCACUCGGGAAGUGGGAUCUUAGGUUGACUGGAAGCGUGAAAGCAGAGUGUUACGUGAAGUUUAAGACCUGCUUUCCGAACCAUCUCGGCAAUGGUAAGGUAGCCAGACCAGUCGUACUUUCCCAUCGACUCAUGCUCGACCACUCCCCACCAUAUAGGCAAUUCAACACCUUCCAAACCGAGAAGUUUCAAAGCUUUAAGCCCCGCUGAUAUUGCUCGAAACUGGUUGACUGUACCACCAGACACAACAUCUAGAGGCAGGCCAGCAAAUAAUCUUACUCUAUUAAGCUGCAAAAUGAAACAACCGAAUAACCUCCAUAAGAUUUUUUAGUCGCUACCAAAAAUUUCAAUUUUGUACAAUUAUAGAUGUUUAUAAAUUGGGUCAAUUCGGGUUUGAACCCUGGUUAGUAGAGGUGUGCAUGGGCCGGGUGGCCCGGCCCAGUCCGAAGGCCCACCCAAAAAUAAGAGGAUUUGGGUAAAAAUAUAGGCCCGAAAAAUGGGCUUGGACAAAAAACUAGGCCCGUUUAGAAAAUGGGCCAGGCCUCAGGUAAGAUUUUUUGGCCUGGGCCUGGCCCAGCCCGGCCCGAUUUUAGGCCCGAUUUUAAUAUUAAAUUAUUUUUAAAAAAAAUUUAUUUUUAAUUUUAAGUAACUUUAGUAUUUUACUUUACUCUUUUUGUUGUUUUUAAUGUUAUUUUAAUAUUGUAAAACUUUUUUUAUUAAUAUAAUCUAGUUCUUAAUUUAAUUUUAAUUUGUUUCAAUUUUUCAAUUUUAAUAUAAUUACUUUUUAUUUUAUUUUUAAUUUAUGUAUUAUUUUAAGAAUUAUUUGUCUUAUUUUUUUAUUUGUUUUUUGUUUUAAUAUUUGUUUUUAUGUUUUAAAUAUAUUUGAUUUAUUAUAUUUUAAAAUUUUUUAUUUAAUAAAAAAAAGUAAUUUUUUUUAAAUAUGGCCUUGCCGGGCCAGGUUGGGCUGGGCUCGGGCCUACCUUUUUUUCCCGGGCCUGGCUUGAACAAAUUUUUAGGUCCAUAUUUUAGGCCGGGCCGGCCCAGGCCUUGAAAACGGGCCAAAUUUUUUUAUGGGCCCGGCCCGGCCCGAACCCAGCCCAGCCCGACCCAUGCACACCUCUACAAUGGUUACGAAUAAUAUCAGUAGAUUUUAUAUUUGCACAAACCUGAUCUAACUUUAAAUAUGUUUAAAUUUAUUCAAAUUUAUCUAUAUUUAUAAAUUACCAACUCAAGGCAUUAUAAGUUGGCUAAUAUUAAUAUUAAUUUAAUAUUUAAUAUUUAAAAUGAUUUUUUAUUAAAAGUUUAAAUUUAGGCAAGUUACUAACAAUUUUUCUUUGUUUAUGUAGUAUUUUAUUAUCAUAUAUUUAAUUUUAUGUGAUAUAAAUUAAACAGUAUAUAAAAAUAAAAUAAAAGUAUGUUGCAAAAGUAUAAACAAGGACGGUUUAAUAUUUUUUUCAAAAUUAUUUUUUUAUUUUAUAUUUUUAUCUAAAUUUUCUCGUAUUUUAGAUAAAUUUUUAUAUUUAAAUAAAUAUUUUAACCCAUGAAUAGGUAGAAGUAAAAAAUGUAACACCUAUCAAUGUAUUUUUAAGUCAAUUUUAGCAGCAUGGUAGAAAAUAUGGUGAUUUACUUAAUAUUUAUAUUUUUUUAUAUAUAUUAAAAUUUAUCAGAAGUAAAUAUACGAAAGUAUUUUAUAUUAAAAAAUAUAUUUAUUAAAAUAUAUCAUUAUUAUAUUAAUUGAGUGGCAAGAAUUUUUUUAAUAAAUUUAUUUGAAGAUUAUAUAAAAAUAUAAUGAGAUAAAAAUAUAUUAGAAUAAUAUUAAUUAUCUAUUUUAAUUUCAUAAUUAAAUUAAUAUUUUAAAAUAAUAAUAAUUUAAAAGCAGAAACAAUGGAAUGAAGCCAAAAAAAAAAAAAACUUACAGUUUUGGAUUUUGUAGAAGACUUCGAUUUAGGGAGGGGAUCAGAUUGGGCAGCUUGCGCUGUUAUUCUGAGCCCAGAUUUUCCCCUCCUUAAUGGACUCUGAAACGAAACACUGUUUGGUUUCCGGAAAAAUAGUUUCUCAUUAAAUUUCCCGAAACUAAACCUUGAAUCCUUAAACCCUAAUUCUGUUUUAAGGUUUGUUGCCUGAGAACAACUCCUAAUUACCGAAACCUCCAUUCCCCAAAAAUUCCAAUUCCGAAGACCCAAAAAAAACUAAUGAAAAAUUUAUCUCAAAAUAAUAAAAAAGAGAUAUAUUAAAACUAAAAAUCAAGUCUUAUUUUAAAAAACAAAAUCAGGUUUACAACCAAAGAACUUCAAACAAAAAACCCCCAAUGAAAAACAGGGUCUUUGCUCUCAGAUCUCAAGCUGUAAACCACAAAAAGGAAAAAAAAAUCUUCGAACUGAAAAAUUUGGGGGAUGAGUGAAAGAUUAGAAAUGAGGGCUUUUAUAAUACUUUUUUGCCCUUGUUUUGGGGGGAUGCAGCUUAUUUCAUGGCUGAUGGCUGGAGCUCGUUUCUUAUAUAAACGUUUUUUUCGUAAAAACAACAAAAAUGGCGGGUAUCUCUUCUACUUUUACGUUUCGUAGUUUACCAAAAUCCUCAGCCGCAUAAUUAAUCAUUUUUUACCUGGGUUUAAUUAACAAUUUCUUUAGCAAAAAAAAGUUAUUCAAAAGAAUUUUAAAAUAUAUUUUAAUUUUCACUUUUUAUCAUAUAUAAAUAAAAUAUUUAUUUUUUUCUAGAAAAUAAAAUAUUUAUUUAACAUGGGUAAACUACAAAAAUAAUCAUUUUUUUACCUCAUGACUAAUGCUAGCGUAAUUAAAUAUCUAUAUACGUGACUUUGUACUCUGUAUAUGUGUUUGAGGUCAAAGGUUCGAGUUGUGUUUUUAGAAAAUUUUGUUAUUUUAUUCUGAACUAACUAGAGGUGUGCAUGGGACGGGAGGCCCGGCCCGGCCCGAAGGCCCGCCCGAAAAAUGGGAGGGUUUAGGUAAAAAUAUAGGCCCGAAAAAUGGGCUUCGAGAAAAAAUGAGGCCCGUUUAGAAAAUGGGCCAGGCCUCGGGUAAGAUUUUUUGGCCCGAACCCGGCCCGGCCCUGCCCGGCCCGAUUUUAAUAUUAAAUUAUUUUUUAAAAAAAUUUAUUUUUAAUUUUAAGUAACUUUAGUAUUUUACUUUACUCUUUUUGUUAUUUUUAAUGUUAUUUUAAUAUUGUAAAACUUUUGUUAUUAAUAUAAUUUAGUUCUUAAUUUAAUUUUAAUUUGUUUCAAUUUUUCAAUUUUAAUAUAAUUACUUUUUAUUUUAUUUUAAAUUUAUGUAUUAUUUUAAGAAUUAUUUUAGUCUUAUUUUUUUAUUUGUUUUUUUUAAUAUUUGUUUUUAUGUUUUAAAUGUAUUUGAUUUAUUAUAUUUUAAAAUUUUUUAUUUAAUAAAAAAAGAAUUUUUUUUAAUAUGGCCGGGCCGGGAUAAAUUUCUAGGCCCAUAUUUUGGGCCGGGCCGGGUCGGGCUCGAGGCCUUGAAAACGGGCUGAAUUUUUUUAUGGGCCCGGCUUGAACCCGACCCGGCCCAUGCACACCUCUAGAACUAACCUCUAUAUUUGAAUUGUUUUAGGCGUGCGUGUAACAACCUGUUUUUCAGUGGUGUCGAAAACAGUGGUUUCAAGGCCACCAAAUUCGACGAGUAAGUUUGUAAAUAUUAUUAUUUAAUAUUUACGAGUUAAUUAUGGUUUUAAAAAGGUUUUCGAUUUGAUAAUUUAUGUUAUAUAAGCGACUUAUUAAGUUCAAGUGGUUUGACCCUAAGGUCAAUUGGUUUUAGAAAAUGAGGUAUCGGGACCUCGUUUCUAUAAACUGAGCCGUAAAUAUUUUUAUAAAUAUUUAUGGAGUGUCAUUAAGGUGGUAUUAAAGUUUCAUUAAAAAUUUUUAACAUUUCGAUAGUUAAUUAAUUAGAAAGGACUAAAUUAUAAAAAAUACAAAAUAUGCUAAAUAUAACAUUUAAGUGAUGAAAUAGCUUAAUUAAUAAAGGAGGAAGGACUUAAGUAAAAAUCAUUCCCUAAUUAGUAUAGUGGGACAACAAUUUAAUAGGAAAUGAUAAAAUAAUGUGUUUUGGAUGGCAAAUUUGUAAAUUAAUGAAAGUUUAAACAAAAUUAAACAAAAUUAAAGAACGGAAAACAAAAAUUUCUUUCAUUUUUCUUCUUCGAUGGCCGAAAGCCAUAGCCAAGGAGGUGAAGCUUCGGUUUUGGAUGUUUACUUUGCACGGUAAGUAAUACUGACUCGUUUUCUUGUAAUUUUUAUGUUUUUGAGAUCGUUACAACUAGGUCCGACUAUGUCCAACUAGUCCGUACCUUCGUUCUUAAAAUUGUUAAAGAUUUUGAAUGUUUCUAUUGACGAAUCUAGUGAUUUUUGAUGUUAAAUUAUGAAUUUGAAAUUUUGGUUGGUAUUUAAAAGUAUUCUGUUAAGGGAUUUUUGAUGAAUUUUCCGAUUAUGGACUAAACUGUUGAAAUAGUAAAAAUACAAGGGUUUUCUUGUGAAAUUAUUGCAAAAAUGGGCUGUAUUGAAUGCCAUAAAUAUUCAGCUAGCUUGGAUUUGCAUUAAAAAUGGUUAAUUUGCAUGUUUUAGGCUUAGGGACUAAAUUGAGUAAAAGUAAAAUGUUAGGGGUAAUUUUUUAAAAAUGUCAAAAAAUACUAAAUUUCAUAAAAUGAAUUAUUUUAUUGUAUAAAUUAAUAAAUUGAAUGAAAUUAUUAAUUUAGAUCAAGAUCGAGUAGAAAAUCGAAGAGAAUAAAAAAUUAUCAAAAAGCCCCUAUACUUUGAUAUUUCUGCACUUUAGCCAGGUAAGUUCUUUAUAUGAUUAUUAUUAAUUGUAUUGAAUAUUUCAUAAUAUUUCAUUAUGGGUUAAAACUUAAAUGUCAUUUAGCUAUGUUUUAAGAAAUAGAAACGCAGUGAUAUUCGGGCUCCGUGCCUAGCAGGCUUUGUGCCGGUUUAUUAUAUCAAGCUUUGUGCUUAGCAGGCUUUGUGCUGGUGUGUUAUAUCAGGCUUUGAGCGUAGUAGUCUUCGUGUCAAUGUAUUGUAACAUGUCAGUUGUACUGAAAAUAUUAUUUUCAUUAUUCAAUGUUAUUUAAUUUGAUUCAACGGGUAUGAAAAGGAAGAGAUAAGUAAGUAUUCAAAAGACUUAUGUCAUGAAUCUAUAGAAAUGAAUAAAAAGGUAACGUUCAAUGAAAGUAUGUUUAUGUUCAUGAAGUUGGUGAUUACAAGUGAUGUUAUUCAGUAUAUGACUUACCUUAUGAUAUUUCGAGUGAAUUAUGAGUAAAUGCACUAACUUGUGUAUAGAUGAUGAUAUAUUUAUGCUUAUGUCUUGUGUUAUACAAAUGAUACGAGCAAGGAGAUGUAAUAAAACGGUAAGUUCAUAAUUUAGAUGUAAUGUUAUGUAAAUGCAUUGAUGAGUUAAAGGGUUUGCUUAUAUGUGAGAAAUUUACUUAAGUUAUGGAUGAAUUUAUCUAGCUUGUGGAUAAAUACAGUAAUUUGUGAGUUAAUUAUGGUUUGAUAAAUCUUGAGGCAUUGGUAUAGGUUUAUUUUUACCUUAUAAAGUUCAUUAUUGAAAUGAAAUGUUGUGUUUAAAAUUUAUAUGAUCUUACUAAGCGUUCAUCGCUUACAUUGUUAUUUUUACAUUACUUUUCAGAUUAUCGGAAGCUCAAUUGGGUUGGAAGCUAGUCGAAGAUGUAACAACCCAUUUUUAGUUAAAUCGAAAUAGUAGUUUCAGAACCACAAACAUGAGGUCAAAAUAUUUAUUUUAUUAUUAUUUUAAUGUUUACAAAAUGAUAUUAUGUUGGUGUGAAAAUUUCGUUAAGAAAUUUUAUCUUUUAAUUGGUCAAUUUGAGAAAAGGACUAAAUCGCAUAAAAUGCAAAAGUAGAAUUCUAUUAGCUAAAAGUAUUUAAUAGCUAUAGAACCUUAAAGUAAAGGUCUUUAUGUUGUAAUUAGAACAUUAACAGCAGUGGACAUAUAUGGACAUAUAUUAAGGUGUUAUGAUGGUUAUUAAUUAAGGUUAAAAAUGUAAAUUAAUAAUUAAAGGUUAAUUUAAUUAAAACAAAACAAAAAGGUUUUUGUUUCAUUCAUCUUCUUGGUCGAACGAAGCAUGGAGAAAAUCCAUUUUAGGGCUUCAAAAUUUUAGCUACUUCAAAGUUCAAUUGUAAGUCCAUUUUUGUUCAGUUUUUAAUGAUUUCUAUGGUUUUGUAAUCGUUGCUACUAGGUCUAGCUAGCCCAAGGACUAUUUUGUAAAAUUUUUAAAGAUUUUUAAAGUUAUCAUUGAUUAAUAAAUGUGUAUUUUGAUGUUUGAUGAUAGAUUUUGAAUGCUUGUUGAUAGAUAAACAAGUUUUGUUAAGUGUUUUUUAGUGAAAAUGUAAAACAGGGAUUAAAUUGAGAAAUGUUGAAUCCUUGUGGUUAAAAUGUGAAAUAAAUGAAAAAUAUGGGCUUAUAGGAGCAUUAUAGUAAUUCGGCUAGCAUGGGUUCAUUUUGAAUGUCAUUAAUUAGUGAUUUUAUGAAAUAAGGACUAAAUUGUAAAAAUAUGAAAGUUUAGGGGCUAAUGUGUAAAAUAAAUCAAAUGUAUAUUUUGGAUUGAAUUGAAUAAAUAUAUGAUUAAAUAAGUUAAUUUUGAAUAUAUUUAGAUUAAGAAAGGAGAAAUACGGACCUAGAUCGGGGAAAAAACAAAGUUACAGAGUAGUUGACUUGAUUCGCCGUUUUAGCAUCCGAGGUAAGUUUGUAUGUGAUAAAUUUCAUUAUAAAUGUAUUUUAAAUGCUUUGAUAUUGUAUAUGUUGUGAAUACGAGACUUCGGAUAAAUUCAACAAUGACUCGAUGAUAUUUCGACAUUCGAAAUCACUGUUGAACCUCAGGAAUAGUUUAGGAUACUAGUGACAUGUCAUUAGGGGAUACAUUGAGUUGGCUUCGGGCCAUGAUAUUAGCACUUCGGGUGCAAGUUAUACUAAUUUGGCUUUGGGCCACGAUAUUAGUACUUCGGAUAUAAGUUACCUUAAUUUGGCUUUGAGCCAUGGUAUAGGUACUUAUUGUGUGAGAUUUUUGAGUAUCUGACUUCUAUUUCGAAUGGUUCAAUGAGUAAUCGAUAGAUAUGGAUGAGUAUAAGAUUGGUGCUAGAUGAUACAGGUACGUUAUGAAUUAUAUAAGUUCCCAAUCGAGAAAACUUGUGAAGGAAGUGUAUACUCUCAUAAUUGAGUAUUUGAAAGGUUUGUUAGUUAAUGUAAGCUAUAUGUUGGUGUAUUCAAAUUAUUGAAUUAUAUUUGUGAAAUUUCAUUGAGUUUAAUUCAUACGAGCUUACUAAGUUUAUAGCUUACUUUGUUUAUUUUCCCUUGUUUUAUAGUGUUAUCAAAGCUAGCUCGGAUUCGGGGAUUGUCGGAGAUUGCUUCACACUAUCCACCUAACUUUUGGUACCUAUGAACUUUGGUAUUUUUAAGUAUAUGGCAUGUAUAGGAACUUGGUCUUUUGGUAUUAGUGUUGUUAUGAAUUUGGCCAUUUGUGUUGGCUUAUAAAAGUUUUGUUUAUAAUAUUGUUUAUGGCUAUGUAAGUUAACUUAUUUGGCUUGGCUGGUGAUGUAUGUAUAUAGGUGUGCUAAUGCCAUUUUGUGAUGUGUAGCACCCCAAACCCGGCCCAGAAGUUAUGGCUGGAUCCGGCAUGCCACAUCAAAAAUGUUAAAAAAUUUUCCAUUCUAAGUCCAAAUUUUGCAGCUUACCAAAAACAUUAAUCGAUUUACCUCACGAGCAUUCGCACACUCGCAAAUCUACAAAAUACCAGUUUUCGGCAUUUCGGCUUUCGACUUUUGCCGAUCUAGACUAAGAAAGAGAGUGUUAGUUACACACCUGUUUGCGACGAUGUGCUGACGAAAUCCACAUACGAACCGCCUACAAUUGGAUUACUAACACGUUAAUCUAACUAUUCAAAUACAAACUACGUAUUAACCCCUUACAAUAUUCGGCCAACCACACCUACAGAUCAUAGUAAGCUUAUAAGAAAUCAAUAAGCAACUCAUUAACAAAUUUUUGUCAAUGUUUACCACAUAAUCAUAAUUUCACUGCAAGCUGUCUUCCUGAGCAACAGUCACUAAAUUAUUUAUAACUGGAGCUACGAAACUCCAAAUCAAGUUCCAUUAAUUUUCCAUGAAAAUAGACUCAUAUAUCUUAUAUCCAUAAAAUUUUCAGAAGUUUUGGUUUGGCCAAUCAAUACCAGAUUUUUCUCAAAGUUUCGCAUGUUUCACUGUUUGACUAAUCUGACCACUCUUCAUUACGAAUCAAAUUUCUCAUUGUAAAGAAUUCAAAAUAUGUUCUUGUUUAUUUCAUUUGAAACUAGACUCAACAAUCUUUAAUUACAUAAUUUAUUCAGCUUCUAAUUCAUCUCCCACAAUUUAUGGUGAUUUUCCAAAGUCACGUUACUGCUGCUAUCCCAAACAGAUUUAUUACCAAAUCACUCUUUCACACAUAACUUGCAUGCAUGUUAUUUAAACAUGUAUAUCACCAAUCAAUCAUCACAUAUCUAUGAGUUUACUUAAGUAUAGUCUCCAUUUCAUCAUUUUAAAGCACAACAUGUUAGCCGAUUUUUCCCCUUAGCAUCUAAGGCACAUACAUGCUCAUUUGUUUGGCUCAACUUCACCUAUCUUCCAUUUUUCAUCAAAAGAACAUGAAACAACAACCAUUUCCUUCAUUUUCAUUCAUGACUAAAUGCUCACAACACAACUAAAAACCAAAAUAUGCUUUAAGAGUUAAGGUAGAAUCAAGAAGAACUCAUUAACAUCAAGAUAGAAGCAAACUACCAUGAACUUACCUUCAAUUUUCUUCCCCAAGUGACCGAACAUUCAAGAGCUUUCUCCUCUCCUUUCUCUUCUCUAACUUUAGGCUAUGAUGAACAAAGAUGGACAAAACUUUGUUCUUUUCACCCUUUUUUCUUUUAAUAAAAUUUCAUAUUUCAUCCAUUUAAUUCUUUAAUACAAAAGACAUGAAAUGCCCAUCAUGGAACAUUUACCUAAACCAUUAUCAUGGAGCAUUUACCUAACCCAUUAUCAUGGAAUAUUUACUUAAUCCAUUAUCAUGGAACAUUUACCUAACCCAUUAUCAAUUUGUACCAUGAAUUAUGGAUAUCAAGUGCUCAUAUUGUCUACAACAACAUGAUGGCUGGCCACUUCAUGUAAAAUGGGAGGUUUGUCAUGCAAAUCCUCCUAUUUUGCACUCCUAUUUAUUUGGCCACUUCAAUUUAGCCUAUAGCAUUUUCAAACAUUUUCACAUAGGUCCUAUUUCAUAAUUUCACCUCUUUUUUCUUAUGGAACAAAAAUUAACUAAAAUUGUUGGGUUCUAUAUUAAGCUUGGGCCUUCUAGAGGCCCACUAACAUAAUUAAACCUAUGCCAACAUUCACAGAAUUCCCAAAAAUUGGGGCGUUACAUGAUGUGGUUUAUAUUGCUUGUGGAAGGUAUUGAUUGUGGAUUAUUAGUUGGAGUAACUAAUAGUUGAAUUUAAGAUUUGGUAUGUUUGUGGUUCUAGGUAAAUGAAUGGUUGAAAUGCUUGAGAGUAUAGAUCAAAUAAUGCAUAUUUGUUAAUGGUCAUUUUGUUGAUUUGGGAAGAUAAGGUUUGGCAUGAAUUUGGUUGGCAUAAUAUGGUAUUUAUAUUUUGUAUAGAUUGGUGUUUGAAAUGGUAUAAGUUAUGCUUGAUUUGGAAUUGAAAUAUAUGCCUAAUGAUACUAUAUUGUGUGCCAUAUGAGUGUCUAAUGAUACUAUAUUGUGUGCCAUAUGAGUUGUGUAGGUGUGCCUAAAUUUGGGUGGCAAAAUGACUUGGUAAAUAGCCUAUUUUUGUCCACACAGGCAGAGACACGAGCGUGUGUCUUAGCCGUGUGUGACACACGGUUGUGUUACACGGCCGUGUGUCCCCUGGUGUGGUUUUAGAAAUCAAGUCAAUAUGCUCCACACGGCUUCACACACGGGUGUGUGACUUGUCCGUGUGGCAUAAGUCAGUAUACCCUACAAGUUUGGCACGGCCUAGCACACGGCUGGUACACGGGCAUGUAUGGCCAUUAUUAGGGCAUAUGAGCUAGCCACAUGGACGUGUGUGUUGGUCGUGUGACCCAAGUUAGAGAGUUACAUGUUGUAGGACACAGCCAUGUGCUCCCAUUUCGAAUGUCCACACGGCCUGUGACACGGGCAUGUCUGACCACACGGGCGUGUGUCUCCUGUUUUGAGAAAAAUUUUCUAAGUGUUCCAAAUGUUUUAAAAGUUAUCGACUUAGUCCCGAAACACUCCCAAAGCAUGUUUAGGGCCUCAUAGGUUCGUAUUAGGGAAAAAUUGAUUAAGAUUGAAUGAUGAAUGUUUGAUUUGAGAAAAUGUAUGCUAAAUGGAUGUUUAAUUGUUUUGUAAGUCUAGUAAUGCUCCACAACUUUAUUCUGGUGUUAAAUACGGUGAGGGGUGUUACAGAAGAUCCAUCACACUAUCUAUUGAUUUUAUCAGUAGAUUUUGAUUUCUUGAUCAAGGUUAUAAUGACAUGUAUAGGUGGAAUUUGAUGAGUUUGGCAUGUAUACAUAUCAUUUGGAAUUAGCUAGAUUGGUGUCAUUUAGACGGUUUUGAUGCUUAAAUGGUUGGUAUUGGAAUGGUCAAAUGAAAGUAUACUUUGAAUGGCCAAUUUAGUAUGUUUGGUUGUAUUUUGGAAUAAGUCAAUUAUACUAUGUUUUGGCAUAGAGACAAAAUAGAUGAUAAAUGGUAAAUGUGCACAUAUUUAGAUUGAUUUGAUAUUUAUGUUUGGGGUGCAUUUUGGAAUAUUGGUUGUAUGGAUAAAUGACCUAUUGAAUUGAUCUUACUAUGCAUAUUUUAGGUAUGUUUGAAAGCUUGAUUGUAUGUGCAAAUGUUUUGUAUGUGUGACCAUGUUUAGGGUGAAAGAAAUGGAUUGAAAAUAACCUCUUUCUUGUCCACACGGCCUAAGACACGGGCAUGUGUCUCAACCGUAUGUGACACACGACCAUGCAACACGACUGUGUAUCCUCUGUAGGUUUUUAAAGGUUGCAUUUCGAGGGUACACGGCCUGGCACACGGGCGCGCAACUUGGCUGUGUGACCCAAGUUAGAGAGUUACACGGGCACAGAUACGGGCUGGGACACGACCAUGUGUCCCUACUUAGAAUGCCACAAUUUUCUUCUUUUUUCUGAAAAAUUCUAUAUGUUUUUGAUUUAGGCUCCGUUUGUUUGCCAUUCUGGUGCUUGGAUGAGUCUAUGUAAAUUAUUUUCUAUUAUUUGGUAGAUUUCCUGAAAAUAUUUCAUAAAAGCUGUUUUAAAUUAAACAAAUAUAUAUUUAAGAAUUUAUUAUCUUUUCAUUGUUUAAUUGAGUUUAUUGUAUAUAUUAAUAAAUUUAUAUUUUAAUUUUUUUACAUAUAUUGCAAUGAUUUAUUUAUAAAUAAGAAAAUCAAAUUAAAUAUUUAAUAAUACUCAAUUAUUAAGCUAGAAUAUUAACCGUCAUAAACUAAAAACAACCAAAGCAAAUAAAUUAUUUCUAAUUGUGUUAUAAAAAAAUAAAAAAAACAAAGAUUGAAUAAUUAUAAAUUACCUUCCAAACCACAAUUAAUACUAGAAAUUAAUAAUAUUAUCCAAAUGCAUAAUUAGUAGUACACCAUAUGAUAACAACAAUAUUGUCCAAGUGCAUAACUAAUAUUUCACCACAUUAAAGUAUCAAUAUCUUCAACCUUGAGAAAAUUUUUGAAGCCAAAAUUUUCUAUGCUUCUUACUUUUAACUAAAAAAGCUUUGGCUUCGGAUUCAUGACCUACAAGAUAAUCAAACACACUACAAAGGAAGUCAUCAUCAAAUCCUUCUACCUCCAUUGACAUCACUUCUUCGUAAAGAUGUGGUGUCUUAUUCGCAGUAAAUUGUUCCAAAGCAUUAGCAAUUUUGCCAGGUUGUUCACCCACAAAUUUAAUUUGCUCAUCAAUGACAAAUUUAGAUUUGCCAAGAUACUGUUGUUCUUACCCCCUUAAUCUCUUCAUUGUCGCAGUCUAUAGGCACUGAAUCUUGGUUACCAUCAUCUAAAUUUAUGUCAGCAAAUGUUCUGGAAAAACUCCUUAUUGCCAUAUUUUUGCCAACAACCAAAGCCAUUUUAUCAUAAUGAUCAAUGCUUUUACUCAAAAAUGGUUCAUACUUCUUGUGUGCCUGUUGGAUAUUAUACACAAUUAGAAUAACAAGUAAAAAAAAAUUGAAAUAUACUUAACAUAUAUAUACAUAUAUUACCAUCACUGCUGCAUCAUAUGUCGCUCAAUCACAUGUGAUCAUUUUCAUGUUAUCAUCCCAUCCAAAACCAUUUUCAGCCCGAAUUGUGCAUAUAAUCUGCCACUGGUUUUUUACAGUCCUCAAAUGAUUUUUCACAUGCUUCCUAUCGCAUUGGACUUGAAAUCUUUCAAAAAUAGCUAUGGCAAAUUGAUUAAUAGAAAUUACUUUGAAAGUGUUAGAAGGCUUAUUUCCUUUCUGGGCCUCCUUUGCUAGAAUUUCAAGAAAAAGAUGUUCCAUCGGUUUUGUCCACUUGAAUUACUUGGAGGUCCCUUCUUUGUUGCCCUUAGCCAUUCUACAUUAAUAAUUGUCAUUGCCAAUCAUUUCAAUAUCCAACAAGCUUAAAACAUAAUAAAUUCAAUACCUAACAAAUUCAAGACAUAAUAAUUUCAAAAUCCAAUAAACUAAUUUCAAUAUCAUUAUCCAACCAACAUUAAAAAAAACAAUUUUAGUACUAAAACAUACAUAACAUAGAAACAAUAACCCUAAGUCUUAAACCUAUCUAAUAUUUCUAGCCAUAUAAUCAUUCCACAUAGUUUGUGCAAUUUCCUCUCUCUUAGUAGACCAUUCUCUUGCUUUUUCUCUUCCGCUCCGUAAGAGUUAGUAUUGUCAAAUUAGACUCAGGCUCAUCGUAUAAUCCUUGAUUAAGUAAAUCACUAAGAUCAACUCCCAUUAUAUGAUUAUAAAUGAUACAACAAGCCAAAACUAUAUCUACUUGAGUUUGAUAGUUCCAAAAUGGUUCAGCAUCUAAUACACGAAACUUUUUGCUCAAAAUCCCAAAAACACGUUCAAUAGUGAUUCGCAAUGAUGAAUGACGAAGAUUACAGAGUUCCUUUGCAUUUUCAGGCCCCUGAGCACUAAACUCUUUUAAUGAUAUCGGACACCACGAUAUGGGAUAAUAUAUCCAUUUCGGAUGUCAUAUCCAGCAUCAGCAAAAUAAUAUUUACCUACAAUUUUGCAAAACAUAAUUAUUGCCAAUAAAUUAUGAGCUUACUAGAAGUAUUUGGUAUUUAAUGUUAAUUCUUACCUUUUAGAAUUCUUAAUCCUCUUGGGCGUGAAAGUGCAUCGCUUAUGAUACGAGAAUCAUGUCACUACCUUCCCAAUCAGCUAAAACAUAGGAAAAUUUCAAAUCAAAUGUAAUGACAGCCAAUACAUUUUGUGUCGUCUUCCCUUUACGGCUACGAAAUCUUCCUUGAAUGCUAAGUGGAACAGAUAUACGAACAUGAGUUCCAUCUAAUGCUCUAAUACAAUAUUUAAAAUAAGGAUAAAACCUUGGAUUGUUUCUGAUUUCACUAGGGCUGACUUAUUAGGUAAUUUAAUAACUAGUUUAUACAAUUUCAAAAUAGCUCCCAAUACAACCCUAAUGUAACGGUGAAUUGUCUUCAAUUGAUCUAUAAUAUCUAGAUCCAAUCACUUGAAACCUUAUAUUUUGACCAAUUAUAUGUAAAAAUAUAAUGACUUGCUCCCUAAUAUUCACUGAUUUAGUUGAUUGUAACAAAUUAUUCCUACUAAGAAUGUCACACAAAUUAAAAAAGGCAAUUGGUCUCAUCCUUAUCACAUCAAUACAAUGCUGGUCACCACUAUAUAAAAUACUAUUAAUAUAAUUUUCUCUUUCAUUAUCUCGAUUCACACGAGGGUGAGAAGCAAUUUCCUUCCUAGUUUUUAAUUUUUUAAUCCAAAGAGCCCCAAAGCUAAAACUAAAGCCAUGACUCUGACAAAUGCAUUUUGAUCUUGAUUACGAUCCAUCUAGACAAAAUAAUGCCACACAAAUAUUUGAGCACUAAAAAAAAGAUGCAAGCUUUUCAUAAGAUCACACAAAAAUAUAGCACAAUAAGUUGCAAAUACACUUGUUGAAACAGAUAAUGGAAUCAUGGUAAAAAUUAUGAUUUUAAGUAAACUUCAAUAAAAGAUAAUGCAUAAAAAUGCCAUGUACGGAAUAAAAUAUACAAUAGUUAUACAAUCAAAAUCAUUAUCUUUCCAGGAAGAAAUUACCUUUUUAUCAAGGCUGAUAGCUUUGGUACAAUUUGCUUUUGCUCAGAGGAAAUUGAAGGGGAGGGAAAAAAAGCAAGUACCAAAAACCAAAGUGGAUGUAGUUAACUUAUUUAUUAUAUAUAUGUGUUAAAUAAUUGGGUUUGGCAUUUUUUUCCCUUGACCUACCAUGGCUUGUAUUUUAAGUUGAAUGAUUCUUUUUACUAUUAUUUAGUGAUGGAACUGAAUUCCAUGCAAUAUAUUUGAUUUAAUUUUAGCCUUCUCUAUUAAAGUAGGUGCUUAAAAUUCAAGCAUUGACCAUAAAAUUUGAACAGAGUCUAUCAAUUUUUUUAACAGGCUUGUUUAACAGAUAUGGAAAAGACAACAUAGGGAUAUCAAAAACUGAAAGUCCAGCAUAAUAUAAAAUAAGAUCUAUCAGCUAAAUUUUAAUUCUAAUGGAGAUUUGGAAAGUCAUUUUAGUGGCAAUCCAAUCACAUGGGACAAGAAAGAUGCUUAAUUCCUUUUCGUUUAGUUGCUUGCCUCUAUGUAAAGAAUACAUAUAUAUAAUAGUGCAAAAUGAAAAUGACGCUCAUUCCGAAACUAAUUCAAUUAAUUUGUACACAUAUUUUAGAUCUAAUUUUGCUGCAAGUCUCUGCACUCUUUGAACAUUUAAAAUUUAGUCCCAAGCUUUUUUUUAUUUACCUACAAUCUUAGCCGCUCCAAGGCAUUGACUCUCCCUCCAUCUCUGAGGUACCUACACGCCAUUUUGGUUCACACGAUUACAGGAAGGCGAAAGAGCAUUGGCAUCGUCAACACUCACGACGCCAACUUUUUAUGGUGUAUGUCACACGGGCACGUCAUCGACCUUGCCUAUUUUAUCGCCCUCGCGAUUCAGCACCAGACAGAGCGGCAUAGGAAGAAGGUCUUCUCUAUUGGCCCCUAUGUUACUCGGUUGCUCGACACUUCAAGCUCCUCAGCACCGCAACCCAAGAAUCAAUCUUAACCCUCAUUGGCCAGAUGUCUCCACAAGGCAUCUCGAGCAUGCUUAGCAUGAGGAUGAUCGAAAAGCGCCGAGAAAUCUACCCUCCUCAAUAUUGUCUCACCCAAUCUACCGAGCAGGAGGUUUACGAGGACAUUUCUGAUGAUGUCCCGUCACAGUAUGAGGACCUACCGACUCAGCCACUACCACCCUCUCGUCCGGUUCAUGCGGCGGCUUCAUAUGCUGACAUCUCUAUGCACCUUACUCGAUUCGAGCAGCAGUGUUUUCAACGAUUUGACAACAUUGAUGCUACUCUACAGCAGAUUUGUCAGCACCUCACAUCUCAUCGCCAGUCCCACCUCGCGAACCAUCCAGCGAUGAAGAUGUUUAAAAACAUUUAUUUAUUAUUUUAUGUUUUUAAUUUUUAUUAAACCUACUGUUUAUUUUUAUUAAGAUUUUAGAAUUUUAUUUUAUUAUCAAUUUCAGUUAUUUCAUUAAGAGUAAUUAUUCUUACUAAUAUACCCUAACAAGUUCCUGAUUUUUUCACAGUUAUAUAAAGCUCCUAAGCUCAUCAUCGCAUAGGAACUAAAAACUCCACCGGGGAAAGGUUUUCCACGACUGCAAUGUCCUGAUCGACCACGACCAUAGCUACCACUAGAUAUAAUAUUCUUUUGGUGCAGGACUUAUGGACUAAUGAACCUCUACCAUCGCCGGAGUAUCCUCCUUCACUCUCGCACCGAUUACUCUCCAAAACUCCAGUUCGAGGAAUUCAUCAUACAGGAAGUUUCACUUCUCCCCCUAUCUUAUGAUUACAAAUUUAUCUUUUCCUAUCUAUCUUUGUACAUUGAGGUUAAUGUACAUAUUAAGUGUGGGGGGGUAUUCAUUUCAUUAUCAGAAAAAUCCCUGAAUGACUGCCUUGUUCUCUUGAAAAGCUCUCAUAUCAUAUUUAGGAUAAAUUUUGAUUGAUUUAUGAUUUUGAUUGAUAUAUCUUGAAUUAAAAUAUAGGAAUUUAUGCAUUGAUUGUUUAAACCUUAAGAUAUUAGAGAAUCGAGCAUGAUAAGUUAAUUUUUAAGAAUUUAAAAUUUUAAGUUAUUUCCCCAAAGUUUAGGUAUUACUUUGAGUUGGAAUUCACAAGUUUUAAACAUCAAAAAACCAUAAUUUUUGUGAGAUUUUUGAGCCUUUUAAGCAUCUAUUAAUUUUUUCAUGCUCACUUUUAUUAUUGCUUUGAGUGCGUCAGUAUUGAACUGUUAUUCUUGAACUUGCUUGAUUAUGCAUGUCAAGACCACACCAUUUGAUUUGAUAUGCCAAAAUGAUUAAGGCAUUUAGGAUUAACCCACUCAUGCCAUGAAAAGCCUACCUCUACGAUUAACCCCUAGUAAACCCCCUUGAGCCUAACAAACCAUUUCUUGUAUUACCCUUAAUAUUAGCCCUUAACCCAUUAUUGUUGAAAUCCCCUAAAUUAAUUUGAUCCCUAUUUUUGUCGAGAUUUGAAUUGAAAUAGUUGCUUAACUAUGUUUUAUUCUAUUUUGUAGUUAUCUGUUCUUACAAAAAAAAAUGUAUACAUAUUAGUAGUAGUAAUAUUUUAUUUUUGAGCUUAAGUAUUUAAUUCCAUUUUCUGAGAAGAAGCUCUAUUGUAUGCAAGUGAUACUAAAUCUUUUUCUAGUUAAGUGAUUUUUCAAUUCAAUCUCGAUUCUAACUUUUGCUUUCAGCCUGUGACCACAUCCCCUAACCAAGCCUCAUUACAACAUUCUAAAGACUUUUUGAUUGAUGUAUCAUCUCCAUUUAUAGUGGUGGAGAUUUGAUUUUCAUGCAAGCCUAUGGUAAUGAUUUUUCAUUAUUGACUAUUGAUUGCUUCAAUUAUUGUCCUUAAACACUAGUGAUUUGAGUGAAUCUUUGGUGAGGAUAUGAAACUCUGUGAUAUUCUGAAUCAAAGGUAAUUACUUAGAUGAUGGGAGACACUUAUGUUUGCAUGAUUAAAUACUCAACCUGGAAUGUAUGAAACUUUCAUGUUCUUUUAGUUGAAUUCUCAAUGUAUGAUUACCUAUGGAUUAUUUUGAGAUAUUAUCAAUAGAAAUUAUAAAUUGAGAAGAAUUUAUUUUGAUUAUGAGUUGAGAAUUUUUCUUGAGGACAAGCAAAUGCUUAAGUGUGGGGGUAUUUGAUAAACCGUAAUUUAUACAUAUUUUUACCCUAUGUUUAACGCAUUUUAUGGAUGAUUUCCCAUUAGAAUCGAUGAAUUCGAUGCUCCUAAUGCUUUAAUUUCAUGUUUUAUACUUAGGAGAGCAUAGGAGAGCGAAAUGAACGAGAAACGAACCAAAAACAGAGAAAAAUGGGCCAAAGUACGAAUUCAACACGGCCUGGACCUCCUCACACGGGCAGACCAUACGGCCGUGUCAAUUUGGCAGAUUCGAAGCACGACUCACACGGGCGUGUCCCUGCCGAGCUCAAGUUGAGUCCAAUUAGGAAGAGGCCAAUUUUGAGGGCUUCUAGGCAUUUUAAAGCCUAUAAAUACACCCUAGAGGAGGAAAGUAAGAGGAGGCAUGGAGAGGAAGGAAGGAAUUACUCGAAGGAAGUCGAUUGAUCCAUCUUAGAAGCCGGAGUCACCAUCAAGACUAAAGAUCUCUCUUCAAUUUCCCUUCAGGAGUUUUAGGUUUUCUUUAUGUUUUGUAUUCGUUAUUCUUCUGAGAUGUUUUCCUUUUUAGUUAUAAACUAAAUCCCCUAAAUACCUAAGGGGAAUGAAACCUAAGACGAAUCUUGUUAUUAUUUUCUGAAUUGUAUGAUAAAUAUUUAACUUGUUCUUAAUUAUGUGUUCUUAAUUCUUGUUUUGAUAUCCCAGGAUACUGAUUCAAGAUAACCUCUUAUUCAGAGGAGGAAUAGACCGUGUCUAAGAGUACAUUUGUCAUAAUUAAGCGGAGUUGUUUGCGCGCACAGACAUAGGGUGACAAGAUUUUGCCGGAUUAGGGUGAAACCUAAUAAGGGGAUCCAUAGUUCGAGUUAAUGCAACCCUAGGGUGUUAAUUAGAGAAAAGUCUCAAUUAAUCAAUCUAAGGAUUAGACAUUAUUAGUCUUGAAUAGGGAUAAUAACAUAACUUAGGGAUCUCUACGGAACAAGUUAAAUGAAUAAAUCGUUUAAUUCAGAGCCAGAAUAACAAGUACAGUCUAAGUGGAUUUUUUCUUAGGCAUUGUCUUAAUUCAAUCGUUUUCCAAAAGUAAUCCCUCAAUUCCAUUCUCUGUGAAUUCUUAGAUUAGUUAAUUAGUUAGUUAAAACAAAACCACCUUAUUCUUAGGCUAGAUAAUAAAAGACAGUCAUUACUAGUACUUUUAGUUCCUUUGGAUUCGAUAAUCUGGUCUUGCUAAAACUAUACUACUGUUCGAUAGGUACACUUGUCUACAUCGCGAUAAUAGUUAGUUUCAAGAACGAUUAAUUAUUAAUAUUUAAAACCUAUCACGAAAUAACACGAUCAACGGUUCAAUGAGCAUUCUGAGAAAUAUGUGAUUGAAUGAAUGAAUAACCGAUUUAGAUUCGUGAAGAUGUGUUCAACAAUUGUUAAUAAGAAGUAAGUAUAUGUACAAAUGAUGAUAUGUGAUAUAAGUAUGAGAAAAUAUGCUAUAAGUGCAAAUGAAUUGGGAAUAUGUGAAAUGUAUAUGAAAUAUGUGGUUUGUGAUAGUAUUUGGCUAUGGAGUAUAUGUGUUUUAUGAUACUUAUAAGCUUAAAAUGAUAAGUUUAUCUCAAUAUGGCUUACUAAGCUUGUGAAAGCUCACUUUGUAUGUUUUUCAACUAUUCUUUAGAUAUCGAAGCUACCGAGAGCUCUGGGAUCGUCGAGGAUCAUCACCACACUAUCGAACUCUAUUUUGGUACCUUUUGAAAAUGUAAAUAGUGAAGUAUGGCAUGUAUAGGCUAGAAGUAUUAGUAUAUGUUUUGAGAUGUGUAUAUCUAGCCAUGUGAUAUGGCUUGGUUAUGGUUGAGAUUAUGAAUGAAUUUUGGUAUAUGCUAUGUGUUCAGAAAUGGUAUGUUUUGAUGUACUCUUGAAUGGCCAAAGAGAAUUGGUCAAUUUGGUAAGAUUUUGGUAUGUGCUUAUUUGAGGAAUUGGUAAGAUUAUGCCAUGAGAUUGAAUGAAAAAUAUUGAGGUUAUGAAACAUAUGUUCUGGUAUAACAUUUGCUUAUGAUUUGGUAUAAUUUGGUAUGGAUUAUAAGCAUGAAAUUGGUUGAUGACUAUAUGACAUAAAAGAUGUAUGUUUUGUGUUUGAAAUUGGUUGGAAUUAUGGUGAAAUUGUGCUUGGUUUUAAACUUGUAGGGAUGGCCCAAAAUGGGUGGCAAUUUGGCCUUUCAAAUGGUCUAUUUUUGUCCACACGGGCAGAGACACGGGCGUGUGUCUCAGUCGUGUGCGACACACGAUCAUGUUACACAGUCGUGUAUCGCCUGGGGUGGCCCUACAAUUUAAAGUCAGUCUCGAGCACGGCCUAGGCACACGGGCGUGUGGUUAGCCGUGUGACCUAAGUCAGUUUCGACCAUGGCCAAUGCAUACGGGUAUGUCUCAGGCUGUGUGGUUCAAGUCAAUAUAUAUGCCCUGUUUUGCCACGGCCUAGACACACGGGCGUGUCUAAUGCCAUUGAGGCACACGGCCUGUUGACACGAGCAUGUGACUUUUGUAACUUUAAAAAUUUGUAAAGUUUCUAAGAAAUUUUAUAUAUGCUCGAUUUAGUCUCAACCCCUUCUUAAAGCAUGUUUAAGGUCUCGUUGACUUAAGAAAGGGACUUUGUGAUGAAGUCUGACUAUGAUGCUAUGACGUGUGGAUGAUAUUUGUGAAUUGAUUAUUAAAUGUUCCGAUAUGUCUAGUAAUGCCUCAUAACCUUAGUCUGGAGACGAAUACAGGUUAGGGGUGUUACAGUUUUACUGGAAAACAAUCGGAGCCUUAGUCCCAACUUGUUUCUAAUGUGUUUUUAGGGUCUCGAGGGCUCGUAUAAGGGAAAAUAUGUAUGAUAUUGAUUGACUUUGCUAUGAUUGAUGUUGAGUUAGUAAAUGAUUAAAAUUUGUGAUAGUUUUGAAACGUAAACUCCAGUAAUGUUUCGUAACCCUCUCUCGGUGACAGAUACAGGUUAGGGUUGUUACAGUACGUGUCAAAAGUAGUGUUUCCAAAUAGGCUAAUUCGAGCGGGUGUAGUUGAUUCACUGGUAAGUGUUGGUUUCGUUAAAAGUUUCCUGUCAUAGUUUUCGACAUAGUUCAGUAAGUGUUAAAUUGUGUGAAUUUCGUUGUUUUAGUCUAUUAAUUGAUUCUGGUUGGCUAAUUUAAGCUUCGAGAUUUCUCUAUGUUGUUUUUGCGUCAAAACUACUUAAGACGCGUACCGAAAACCCAAGUUUUUACUAAUUUUGGAUGCCAAAAAAUAUGGCUGUCGAUGCCACACGACCGUGUGGUAGGCUUUGUGCACCACACGAUUGUGUAGUAGACCGUGUAACUAACUGUUCUCGAAUUAAAGACGCACGGGCUAGAGGCACAGGCAUACUCCAAGGUUGAAACGUUGAUAGACAUAAAUAGCAACGACCACUUCAUUGAGUGUAAGAAAUAGAUUGAAAUCGAGGCACUUAGGCGUUGAUUCAGUCAGUGCUCAAUAGAAUAGAGUUAUAGACCUUGACAAAAAGGUCGAGAUGAUGAGAAUUUUCUUUGCACAAUAGUGGAAAUCCUUUAGAGAGUAGUGGGAGCUACUCCACAAGUUGUGCUAGUAGCUGCAGCUCAGCAAGCCCUAAUAAGGGAGUUGCGAAAAUAUGGAGCAAUCAAGUUUAGAGGUUUGAAAGGUGUCGAUUCAUCCUCAAUUAAAAUCUAGUUAGAAUCGACUGAACGGGUCUUGCAACAAUUAGAAUGUUCACUGCCAAAGUGUGUCACUUGUGUGAUAUCUCUCCUAAAAGAAGAAACUUAUCAACGGUGGCUAACUGUUACACGUCAUGUGCCAAUGAACCAAAUCACUUGGACGUUCUUUUUGUCUGAGUUUGGGAAGAAGUAUAUCCGUGAAUUGUAUUUGGAAGAUAGAAAACAAGAAUUUAUGAUGUUGAAGCAAGAGAAUAUGCUAAUAGUCGACUAUGAAUAAGAGUUCUUGCGGCGCAAUAAGAGUUAGUGCCCACAGAAGAGGAAAGUUGUAAGCGAUUCCAUCGGGAAUUGCAAGAUCAACUCCGAGUUCAGUUGGUCUUGCAUAAGUUUAAGGAAUUUGCUGGUCUAGCUGAAUGAUCAGAAAUAGUUGAUCAAAACUUGGGCUUAGAUAAGAAAGACGACACUCUCUGAGCAUUCAGAAAGAGAUUCAAGACUAUAGGUUUGCAACCUCUACCUAAGCGAGGUAGAGAGUCUCAAAGAUCUUGGAAAUCAAUUUCAUCGAAUGUCAAAUACGAGAAAGACCAGGUUAAACAAUCAUCAUUAUCUAUAAACAAUGUUGAGAAGUAAAAAAAAUGACGUAAGUAUUCCGAACUUUGAACAUAGAAGUGAAUGUGGGAAGAAAACAUGAGCAUGUUUUGAAUAAGAAUCCUUAGAGCAUAUCGCUUGAAAUUUUUUGAGAAGUGUUAAUGAUAUUUCUGUUGCUACCCUGGGAUUUGCAUCUAUAGCUAGAGGUUAGAGAAUUGCCCGUGGUGGCUUAGUUGCAAGGGGUAGUCAGCAGAGAGAAACUAAUUUAGUAGUACAUAUUCCCCAUUACAUUUCAAGUAAAAUUUGGGGGACGAAGUUUCUUGAAGAGGAGAAUUGUAAUAACUCGAAAUUCAGUAGUGUCAAAAAUUGUGAUUUCGGGACCUUAUUUCUGUAAAUUGAGUCUCUAAAUAUUAAAUAGGGUUAUUUACAGAGUUAUUAUAUAAAUGAAUUAAAAUUCAAUUAUGUAAUUUAGUCAAAAUUAUGGUUAGUUAAGGCUCAGAGACAAAAUUGUAAAAGUUUAAUCAUUAUAGAAUUUUAAUUAAGAAAAGACUUGAAGACUUAUAUAGUAAUUAUCCAAAGGUCUAAUGUAACACCCCUAACCUGAAUUCUUCAUCGGAACAGGGUUAUAGAACAUUACUGAAAAUUUCAGAUAUUAAACAGAUAUUUCACAUUAUAUAACGUACAUAUCAGAAGUCAAUCAUAAUGUCCCUUAUUUAAGCUCUUAAGGCCCAAAAUAUACAUUAGAAACAAGUUGGGACUAAACCGGUACUUAGAGAAUUUUUCUCAAAAUUUUUUUAACAUUUUUCCAAAGUGCAAGGGACACACGCUCCUGUGGUCCACACAGCCAAGAGACACGCUCGUGUCCCAGGCCGUGUAGACAUUUGAAAUAGAGACACACGGUUGUGUCCAGCCCGUGUCUGUACCCUUACAACUCUCUGACUUGGGUCACACGGGCAAGCCACAUGCCCGUGUGCUAGGUCGUAUGAACAUAAUAACUUGCAUUAAAUAGGUGCAGAGUCACAUGGCCAAGCCACACGCUCGUGUGCCAGGCCGUGUAAGAAAUUUUGAGCAUUUUGUUUUAAAAUUUAAAGAUGUAGGUAACACAUGCCCAUGCGCUAGGCUGUGUGUCACACACGGCUAAGACACAUACCUGUCUCUCUAUCCGUGUGGAUGAAAAUAGGUCAUUUUGAAGCCACAUUUCUCACCCAAUUUGCAUUCCACCUACAUCAAUACUUUAACACUUUCACAAGCCAAUAUAAAACAUUCAAAUCAAGCUAAAACUAAGUCUUAUAGAUGAUAUAUCAACUCAUAUGUUCAAUUAUCCAAACUUACCAAAAUAACCAUACAUACAUAUAGACAUAUUUUACCAAAUUUAUACUAUUACAAACCAAUCAUCAACAUAUUAAGGCCACUUUUUACAUAUCAAAACAUACCAAUUACAAGCCAUACCAAUGGCUAAUUUCAACCACAAAUACAUGCCACUAUUGGCUAAAUUUAACCUAUACAUGCCAUUAUAAGUCCGAAAUGACUAAAGGAUAGUGUGAUGUUGCUCCGACCAGCUUCCAACCAAUUCGAGCUUCCAAAUUACUAUAAAACAGGGAAAAUAAACUGAGUAAGCUUUUAAAGCUUAGUAAGUUCGUAUAAUAUAGAAUUAAACUUACCAUUAUUUCACACAUAAGGUAAGUAAACUAAACAUGCUCGAACCAUUUUGGCCAAAUGCCUAAACACAUAUCCUCAUCAAGCAUGUUAGUCAUGAGAUUCAUGUAAUAAUUCAUACUCAGAAAUGUACAUAUUCAUGUAACAAUUCAUAAUCACAAAUGUACAUAGUUGUCAAGCAAGUUUCAUACACAUGUAUCUUUUAUCCCAUUUUUCAACAUGUCAAAUAUCAUUACUUUCAUGUAUUUCAAGCAUAUAUGAUAAUAAUUCAUUUUGUUCUCAUAUUGUUACAUAUCAGAAUUUCACUUGUUGAAUCAUUUAAAAUAUCGAUGGAUGCACGGGUAGUACACAUGAAGUUUACAAAACUGUAAUCCAUCAAUUCAUAUUCAAGAAUGCUCAUGUGAGCAUAUAAUCGAGAAGCUCCUCCAAGCCAUGUAACGGGAAGCUCAUGUGAGCUGUAUAACGGGAAGCUCUUGCGAGCCAAUUAUUAGGAAGCUUAUACGAGCCAUAAACGGGAAGCUCAAGAGAACCAAAUAUUGAAAAGGUUCAAGCGAGCCAAUAUCGAAAAAAUUCGGAGAGCCAUUAAUCUGGAAGCUCAUAAAAGAGCCUUUAAUCCGGAAGCUUUAGAGAGCCAUAUGUCGGGAUGCUCAUAAGAGCUGAGGUGUGUCCACAGCACAUGCAGGAUCACAACCAAUCGGGAUGCUUCGAAGAGCUAUUAAUGGGAAGCUCGCACAAACUAUAUAUCGGAAAGCUCAUGAUAGCUAAUAACAGGACGCUCUUUUGAGCUAUGGUGUGUCCACAACACAUGCAGGACCACAACCAAUUCGGGAACCCUCUAUCCAUCGAAUCUCAUUUAUCUAAAUAGGACUUAAUAUUUAUCGAGCAUGGUCGGAUAUGUGAUCAAUUUCAUAUAUAUGAAAUUUAUACAAUUCACAUAUACAACGUUCAAUUCAAGCAUAUAAAUAUACACAAUUUAGUUACACGAACUUACCUCGACAAUGUUUGUGUACGCAAGAUCUGCUAAUCUUAUACCUUUUCUUUUGCUACCUUUUCUUUUGCUAGUUAUAACUCUGUAUUUGGUCUAUCUAGAUCUAUAUGAAUGAAUUUAACGCUAAUUCAUACUCAAUUCAAUUCAAUUCAAUUCAAUUCACAUCUUUGGAAAAAUUACCAUUUUGCCCUUAUACUUUUAUUUAAUUACAAUAUCGUCUCUAGGCUCGAAAAAUGAAAUUCAUGCAAUUUAAUCCUCAUUCAAAGCCUAAAUAAUUUUUACAUGUAACAAUAGUAGCCUAUUUAUUUCAUAAAAUUUAUAAUUUUUCCUUGAAUUUUACAUCUUUUCAAUUUAGUCUCUAAAUCAUGAUUUCAUCAAAAUUCCCUUAACAAAAGUUGUUUAUCUAUCAAUAGCCUUUCAUUUUCUACCAUAAAACUUCAUAAUUCAACUAUAUUCAUCCAUGAAAAAAUCCUAGUACUUUGAUAACUUUGCAAAUUAAUCCCCGAGAUAGCUAAAUUAAGUUAUUACGAUCUUGGAAACAUAAAAAUCAUUAAAAACGGGACAAGAAUACUUAUCUAAUCAAGCAAAAAUGACUUGCUUGAACUCAAUACCCAUGACUAGGGUUUCUAUGCAUUUUUAUUUGGGAAAGAUAAUAAUAUAUAAUAUUUUUCUUUAUUUUAAUAAUUUAUUAUCUUUUAUUAUUUCUCUUUCCAAUUUAAUCCUUUUCUUUAUCAUCUACUAACUCCUCUUAAUGGUCUAUUUGUCAUAUAAGGACCUCCAAUUUUGAAUUUCAUAGCUAUUUAAUACCUAUAACUACUAGAACUCAACUUUUGCAUUUUAUGCAAUUUCGUCCUUUUAUCAAUUAAUCAUGUAAUCGAUAAAAUUUUCUUAACAAAAUUUUUAUACGAUAUUCCUAUCAUACGGUAGACCAUAAAAUAAUAUUAAAAGAAAUUUUCUUUCAGGCUCGGAUUGUGGUCCCGAAACCACUGUUUUACUGAAAACGGGUUGUUACAUCUAAAGUGGUUAAUAAACCACUUUUGAAUAGUUGAUAGUGGAAUGUGAUGAUGGAUGGUUAUUAAACUAAUUAAUUAAGGUUUAAAAUAAAAUAAAAAGUUUAAUUAAAGGUUAAUAAAGAUUAAUUAUAUAAUAAACUUAGUAUAAGAGUGAAAUUGAUGGAUGGAGAUAUGAAAAACUCAUCUUCUCCAACCGGUCAAAAUAAGAAAACAAAAAAGGCACACCAUUUUUAAAGCUUAGGGAAUUCAGCCAUUUAAUUGAAGUAAGUCCCUAGCAAUUUUUAUGGAAAUUGAAUCAUGGGAGCUUGAUUUAGCUAGCCCGUGUACCAAUUUGGGAAAUUGUUAAAGUUUUUGAAACUUGCCAUUGUUGAGAAAUGGAUGGAAUUAGAGUGAAUUUGAUAAAAAUUAAGCUGAGAUAAUGAAAAUGACUAAAUUUUAAAGAUUAAUUGUUAGUUCUGUUCUAUGAAAUUUUUGUAGGAAUAGAAAAUAGAAGGUCCCUAAUGAAUAUAUGUGAAAUCAUAUUUUAAUCUGAAGCUUUAAAUUGAAAGUUAUGUUUGCCCUAGGUUUAGGGACUAAUAUGAAUAAAUUGCAUAAUGUUUUUGAUUUUAUAUUUUAAUAUGAAUUAUAUGGAUUUUGAUCUUGUUUAUUUAUUGAAUUAGUAUUCGUGGCAAAAGACAAUGUUGGGCCAUCUAGAGGGAAAGGAAAGGUGAGAGCCAACGACGAGUGGUGCGAGUUUCCGGUUUGUAUUCAUAUGAUUUGUGACCAAUAUAAUUAUUACAAAUUCAUGUUAAAUUUCAUUAUUUAGUAAUGGUGUGAGUAUAUAAUGGUUAUAUGAAUUAAAUUAUGGUGAUUGAUAUGGUUUAUCAAGAUAGAGAACUAAAUUGAAUAAAUAGAAAGUGGCAUAUUUAAUUGAUAUGUGAUAAUUGGUAUGAAAUUGAGUUGAAACAUGUUAUAUGAUGUGUUGGAAUGGUGAAUUGAUGAUGAAUUAAGAAUGAUGGAAUGUGAAUUGAACUAUGUGAUGAAAUUGAAAAGUUGGUUACUGUAUUAACCGUUUGAGGGGAGCUGAAUAUAGUUGGCAUGUCAUAAGAUUAUAUUGUGUAUGGGUUUAAUACUUCGAUUUAGCCAAUGAUGCACUUAUGUGCCAAUAUAUUUUCUUCGGUUCAUCCGAUGAUGCAUUUAUAUGCUAGUACAUUUCCUUCGGUUCAUCUAAUGAUGGACUUAUGAGCUAGUAUAAUUGAUUCGGCUUGUCUGAUGAUGCACCUUGUGUGUCAGUAUGAUUUCUUCAGUUUAUCCGAUAAUGCACUAUGUAUGCUAGUAUAUUUCUUUUGAAAACAAGCAAACGUUAACUAGAAGGAAGUUUCCUUCCCUUUGACCAUCGACAGAAGCCUAUACAAAUGGUUCCUACCACCCUUACAUUCUCAAAUAUUAAACUAAAGAAGGACUCAAUAAUUUACCAGUAGUUGGCUUGAAAAAGUCAGUUACUAAUCAAGUUGAAAGCUGGUACCUUCUUCACAUGACGAAGAACAUACUAAGUUUCUUUUGAAAGAACAAAGAUGAACGGAGAAAUGGAAAAUAAAUUCCUUCUCUGUUAAGCUUUCUUCCUAUUUAUAUAGGAAUUAGCCCACAAUUCCACUAUAACAGGUUAACUAAUCACUUUACAUGCACACAUGAUUCCACUAAUCAAUCAUUAUUAACGAGGCUUUACAAGUGUCAUGCAAAAUGACACGUUUCCUACAUACGACUUGACACUUUUCCCGUACUUGUCUUAUUGAUUAUGGAUUAUAAAAUAAUAGAUCUAUGUGCCACAAUUGAACUUGCCAAUGGCGGGUUCACAACAGAAAAGUUCACCUAAUGUGGAAUAGGAAAUCUGUAAGAUGGCAGAACCUAGCAGAACAUUCCACAAGAGAAACUUCACCAAAUAAAACAAUUUAUUUCUCGCAAAUUUGGCUAGCUCAUACGUGAGUCAACCGACCAAAAAGGCAGAUUAGAAAAACUCGGGGUGUCCAUAUAAGGCUUAUGGUUUGAAUGAAUCAAAUGAUACAUGUAGCGACGUAAAAAAAUUUUUAGUUUCGCUUGGUCGCUAAUUGUGGCGAUUUAUUAAACAUUUGAAAACCAACUUUCGAUUUUAUUAACAAAGGGAGUCGCCACCGAUCCUUUUUUAUAGGUGUGAUCGGACACCUAAUAAAAUUAUUUUAAAAUAAAAAGAAGGCCAAAUUUAGGUCUAUGUGAAAGUCCAGAGAAAAAUUGGGGUUCGGGAGUCAGUUACGCGUGAGGAAGGUAUUAGCACCCUCGCGACGCCCAAAAUUGGUAUCUCAUAAACAUGUGUUGACUUGAUUUUCAAAAAUACGAGUUCAAUAUAAUAUUUAAUCGUGAUCCGAUUGAAAAAUGAGAAUUUUUAGUUCUCGAUUUUUUUAGAAAGGGUGUCCCGUUUUUUAACACAAGCCGACGAAUUUCACCCAACAUAGCGAUGAAAUCGAUAGCUUAAUAUUAAAUCAGUACAUUGCCUUAUUUUUGAAAUUAAUUAAAACAUGAGAAAAAAUAUUCCUAAAGUGAGAAAUUAAAAAUAGAUAAAGGACGCAAAAAAAUGAUAUAAUUAAUGAAAAAUAUUAACAUGGAAUACUAGAAUAUUAGAAUAACAAUAAUAAUGAUAUUUACAAAAUAAAAACAAAUCAUGUACUAAUAAUAAAAUAGGAAAAAUGAUAUAUUUGGUAAUAAUAAUAUAAAAUAAUAAUAUGUACAUAAAAAUACAUAUAUAUAUGCAUAUAAUAAAAGUAUGUAAUAAUAAUAAUAUCUACAAUAAAAGAAAAUAUUAGGAAACGUACAUAAAAAAUAUAUACAUAAAAAAUUUACAACAAUAAUAUAAAAUAAUGAUAUGUACAAAUAUAUAUAUAUACAUAUGUACAUAAAAUAUACACUAAUAUAAUAAUAGUUAUAAUAAUACUAGCAAUAGUAAUAAUUUGUAAUAAUAAUAUAUACACAAUAUGGUAUUUAAAAUAUAUAUAUGUAUAUAUAAUAGUAUUUAAGAAUAUAUACAUAAGAAAUAUAUAACUAAUGGCAUUAAAAAAUAUAUACAUAAUAUAUAUAAAAUACAUAAAAAAAAUUAUUAACACACUACAUAAGUAAAUGAAAUAUAAUAAUAAUACUAAAAUAAUUAAUUUAAAUAGUAAAGUAACUAAAAAGAAUUAAAUUGAACUAAAAACAAAAUAUUUGGGGCAAAAUUGAAAUAAAAAUAAAAGGAAAGGGCUAUAUUGAACAUGCAUAAAACUGUGGGGGACCAAAAACACAAUUAAUCCUCCCCUCAAAACAUAACAUAGUAAGAGGGACUAAAUCGCAAAGCGCUACAUACUUUAAGGCCAAUUUUUGACAAAAAAAUCAUUUUGAAGAGAGAAAGAAAAAAAAAGGGAGAAAGAAGAGAGAAGGGAGGGGGGAAAGGAAAUCCGGCCAAGGGGGGCCGGUCACUGGCCGAUCGUCAGCCGCCGCCCGUCGCCGGCGCCGGCUACCGCCCACGAUGGCCAGAAAAGGUAAUUUUUUUUCUUAACAAUAUAUGUAUAUAUAAAGAAAGAAAAAAACAACACAAAAGAAAGAAAAAAAAAGAUUCGAAAGAAGAGGAAAAAAGAAAAAAAUGCAACCUUUUUAUUGAUGUUUCUUUUGUGUUCAAAAUUUGAAGGGAUUUUUGCGUUUGUCUCCUUUUUCAAUAUUUGUAAAAAUCCCCCCCUUACAUGAUUUUUGAAUGGCUUUUUAUAGCCAUCUUUUACAUGAUUUUCUAUUAUUUCUUUUUCUAUUUUGUAGGUGAUGGUGGUAGCAAUGGAUAUCAAAAAUGGGAGGAAAAAUGGGGCAAGUGGGAAAGUGGCUAGGUGGCUAGGGUUUCUUGGUUUUUUUUGGGGGGGGGGGUUAGGUUUUUUUUUUGGGUUAGGUUUUUUUUGUGAGGGGGCUUAAUGGGCUUUUGAAUUGGGUUUAAUAUUUGAGUUUUAUAAUGGGUUUGGGUAGAUGUAAAUGGGUCAUGGGUUAAGGGUUUUAGUGGGUUUAGAGGUUUGGUUGGGUUUUGAUGUAAUCGGGCCCGGGCAAUUUGGGCUUCUACAAUACAAAUGGACUUACAUGUUAAGAUUAGUUCUUUAAUUGUAUGAUCAAUUUGAUGAAUUGGUUGGAAUGGAAAGUUUAUGGUAGUGCAUAAAGUGCUAAAAUGUGAUUUUUUUGUCUUUAACAUGUUGAAAGUGAGCUUGGCCAAAUGGCUAGGCCAUUUUGAAUUGGUAUAAAUUGAAUUAAUGCCAAAAAGAUAGUCACGUCAAGACAUUGAGCAUUUGUUGUCACGACGAAAUUAAAUUAGUAUGUUGCGUUGCAAUGAGGAUCCCCAGAAGUCAUGACCCUAAAUCGUGAUUUUGAAAACAUUACAAAUUGGUCCUAAUUCGACCUUGGGUUUGUAUUAAAGCUUUCGUAAGCUCAUAUAAAACUUAGAAAUGGUUGUAUAUUGCAUCAUAUGUAUAUAAUACUCAUAAAUAAAUGUUAAUGGUAAAAAUUGAAUGUAAUUGAUCGUAGUUGUUUUCGUAACGAAUAUGAAAUCCUGUAACUCGGAUCCGACAAUUGGAUUGGGUAUAGGGUGUUACAUUUUUCAACCACAACAACAAUGCCAAACUAACCUUUAAACAUACUUAGAGCUGGCAAAAUAGGCCUGAGCUCGAAAGCUCAUCUGUGCCAAUUCGAGCUUGUGUCGAUCUGAGUAUAUUAUUUGGGUUUGGGCUUGCUAUAAUAUAUCCGGGUUUUGGAAUAAAUAUUUUAAAAUAUGAAUAUUAGGUUUAUAAAUUUAAUAAGAAAGAAAAAAAGUUAUUCAACUGCUAAUUGUCAAUAUAAUAUAAUAAUGAACAAUAAAAAUAUUUUUGUUAAUUCAUAUAAUAGAAUAGAAUAAUAAAUUUUACAUUUGAUAAGCACUUUGAUUGUUUUAUAUAAAAGAAUUGUAUUAAAAAUAUUUUUAAACUUUUUAUAAGAUAAAUUUGAAUUGUGUUGUCAUUGUAUAAAAGUAAAAUAAAUUAUUACAUUAGAAAUUAAGAUAUUUAUAACUUAUAAAAUUCAAAAUUAUUUAGAUCUGUCAGAGUUCACUUGACUCGAUUUGAGCCCGAAUAUGAAAUAAGCCUGAUUCAUACCCGUCCGUUUGCCAACUCUAAACAUACUUGAACAAUUGAGCCCACAUCCUUAUUAUUGUUGUAAUAACAAUCCUACUAGCUGAACUAAUGUUGAAUCGAUGUCACCAUAAACGUUUUAAAUUCAAGGAUUAUGCAUGCCACAGGCCGACUCUUUUUUUUAAAAAAAUAUAUUGUAUUAUAUUAUAUUGUGAGAAUAGCUUAUAUCAGGAUGAUCCUAAAAUAUAUAGUUUUUAAGUAUCAAUAAAGUAAUGUCACAUCAUCAAAUUUUAAAGACAUACAAAUAUUAUUCUAUACUCAAUCAUAUACGGUAUCAAGUCUAAUUUAAUUGAAAUUUAAUUAAAAUAAUUAAAUUUUUGGCGGAAAACAUAACAAAAAAUAAAUAAAAUUUGAAAAUUCUUAAAUCAAUAAUUAAAAAAAAAAACAGUAGUAAAAAAUCAAAAUUUGAAAAAUUAUAAUCACCAUUGGUGGUUUUAUCAAAUUAUGAAAUUUGAUUAAAAAUUAAAAAGAAAAAUAAAAAGAGAAAAUUCAUUGCAUAAAAAUAAAACACAAUUAUAAACUUUAAACGAUUAAAAAAAGCUAAAAUGAUUUAAAAUUAUAAAAUAAAAAAACAUAUUUUUUUAUUAAAAUUUAUAAUUUUUAAGUAAUUUAAUUAAAAUUAAAUUAAAUUAGAGAAUAUAUUAAAUAUGGAUGAAUGCAUAAUAAGAUUUAUACAUUUUUAAAAGUUGAUGAUGUGAUAUUUUAUUAUUGGUACCUAAAAAUUAUGUAUUUUAGAAUCAUCCUAAUAUAGUUUAUUUUCAUAUAUUAUUAUUUAAAUUUAUAAUAAAAUUAUAUUUUCUUUCCUAAAAAAAUUAUUUAUUUUGUAUAUUUUUAUAAAAACUCUUUUACUUUAAAUUCUAUUAAUUUUUUUAGAUUAAUUUAUCUCUAAAUGAAAUACAAAUAAAAAGUAAAUCAUUAACAUAUUUUCUACUAACUUUGCAUUCUAUAUUGUUAAUAUAUACAAUAUUAUGUUUUUCACUUGUAAUUUAACAUAAUUUUAAGAUUAACUGGAUCAAGAUUAAAUCAGUUGUUAAACUUCAAAAAAUUUAAUUAAAUUAUUAAAAUAUCAAUAUCAUAUCAAUUAGAUUUGAACUUAAAUAUGUCGUGAUAUAUACAUUUAAAAAAGUAAUAAAUUAAAGAUAAAUGUGAUAAUUGUUGACACAUAAUAAUUUAAAUUCAAUACUGUGUAGAAUAUAAAAAUCAUAACGGUAAACUAUAAAAAAAUAGUAAUUUUUGUUUGCCUUAAAUUAUAUUUUAGUUACUUAUAUUUGAAAUGUUACGUUUUAGUCACUUACGUUAUCGUUUUGUUACAAAGUAGUCACUCUAUCGUUAAACUUCGUCACCUCUCUAACGACAGUCCUACGUGGCAGUCCAAAUGGGUUUUAAAUGCCAACUUGGAUGUCCAGUUGCUGGGAUGAAAAUAGAUUUUUAAUUAAAUAAAUUUAAUUUAGAUUGUCACAUAGUAUAUCUAAGUUGUCAUUUAAAACUCAUUUAGGCUGCCACGUAGGAUUGUCUUUAGGGGGUAACAGAGCUUAACAGUGGAGUGACCACUUCGUAACAAAAUGAUAACGUAAGUGACUAAAACAUAACAUUUCAAACACAAGUAACUAAAAUAUAAUAUGAGACAAAUAAAAGUGACUAUUUUAUAAUUUAUCCAAAUCAUAAAUAAAAAUGCAUAAUUGACAUUAAUCAUAACCCUAACAUUUCUUAUGAGUUCAAAAAAUUAAUGAAUAAGAAAGCUCACAUCAUGGAUGAUAAUGACGGUAAAGAGAUAUCAUAGGUUUUUAGGUAGGUCCUUAUAUUUCAAAUUUUGGAAAGCAAAAAAGAAACAUCCCAAGUUUUUUAGUGGUUUUCGUGUUUUAAGAGGAUUCAAUUAACUACACGUUUUCCUUUUGUCCUUGAUUAAUUCCAAUCAAACAUUCAAUUAUCAAUGGGCCAUUCAUUUUGUUUUGUCUUUUUUAAUCAUAUUUAUAUAUAUUCAAUAAUUUCAUUACAGGUUCUAGUUAUAUCGAUUCUUUUUUAUAAAAUGCUUGAAAUUAUUUAUAAUCUAUUCACAACUCACUUGAACCCACAUCUUUUUAUAUUAUUAAUAAUUAAACUAAAACUCAAUUUACCAUAUACAUAUUUAUAUAUAUAUUCUAGAUUUGAUGAAUAAUUUUUCCGAGAAAUUUCAUCAACAUUUAUCCUACUUGCUUGGUUCCUUUGAAAGCAAAUUCCAUACCAAACUAUAUAGAGUGGAAGUGAAUAGGCUUUGAUUGGCCAUACGCAACAGCUAAAAAACUUAAAUUUUAUUUAGUAAUCUUAAUUACUAAUUCUUGUAUUGUCUACGGGUACUUUUAUUACACUCGUAGUCUCUAUAUAGAGUAUUCAAGUAUCUUAUACAUCAUUAAUCCCAUUAUUUGUAGAAUUUACCUAUAAUAUAUAUAUAUAUAUAUAAGGUGUAAAUUUAGAGUGUCCUCAAAUCUCAUUGAAUUUAAAAUUAAUUCUUAUGGAAUCAAGAGAAUCAAAAGUAAAAUCCCUCUAAUAAGUGCGAUUCCCCAAGAUUCAAACUUAUCUUUUCAUUUUUAGAAGGAGAGUCGACUACCACCUCAACAUUAAUCAUACGUAAAAUAUUAUGUAUUUUAUAUUAAUCUUGCUUAAAAUCAAACAAAACUACUAUAGAUUAAAGUGGAUAGGCUAGGAUUCCAAUAGGAAAGAGCUAAACAAAAAUAAACCCAAAUUUUAUUUGUGAUCUCAUUUAUCAAUCCUUGUUUAAUUCGUAUAUUAUAUAUUUAUGUAAACUUUAAAAAUACGUGUAUUAUGUCAUGUUUAUAUUAAUGUUUAUAUCAUAUCAUAUUUUGUUUUUUUUAUUAUUAUUCAUACGUGUUUAUGUAGAUCAAAGUAGUUACUUUUUUAUUAAAAAAUUGUCCAAUGAAAAACGUUAUAUUUAAUUGAAGAAUUCAAAUGUGCUAAUAAGAUCUAUCGAUCGAAUUCAUAUUUAAUUAACGAAGCAUAUGGACAUUAAUACGAGAAUAACAUGAAUUUUACUUAAUUAUGCAUAAAAUUAAUCACUAAAAUUAAAUUGAUCAAGAAUUUCAAAAUUUUUAAAAAUAUUUAAAGUUUUUGUCAUUAUCAUUAUUAACAUAUUUAAACAAAAUGCUGUUUUUUUUGUCAUAUACGACCUGAUUUUAUUAAUUGGUCAUCCCCAAUAUACACACAAAAUUUAAAAGAUGAAGACAGAAAAAAAUUACUUUAUACCAAUUGCUAAAAAUCUAUGAACAAUAUUAGAUGUAUCAAAAUAUUUUUAUGUAAAACAUAAAUAUGUGUAUAAAUAUUAAACCAUGAAAAGUUAACUGCAAGCAGAAUAAAAGUUUAACCUUCAGUAUUGAUGUAUGUUAGUAACUCUAUUAAAAAUGAUCUAUUGAAAAUGAAUACUAAGAGUAAUUGAGAGAAAAUGAAUUAUUGAAUAAUACUAAUAUUUCAUUCUUAUUUGAAUAAGAACAGAGAAGAGUUUAUAUACAAGUGAAAGCUUAACUACGGUUAACAUUAUUGCAGUUUAGAUAAAAAAUUAGUAACAAAUUAAUAAUACACUGCCAGAUCCUAUACUUUAACAUUCACCAGCUUCUUAAUGGGUAAGACUCGAAGUAAACUACGGAACUAUGUAAAAAUAGAAACAGAUAACGGUUUUGUGAGAAUAUCAGCAACUUGGUCACAGGCUAGCACCUUCCCGACAACUAGAGAGCCAUCAGCCACCUUUUUGCGAACAAAAAAUAAAUCAAGUUCAAUAUGUUUAAAUUUGGAGUGUAGAAGUGGAUUAACAGCAACAACGACGACACUAGAAUUGUCACACCAAACAGUCAGUGGAUCAGCAGAACGAAUUUGUAGUUCAUUAAGAAGUGCAAUGAGCCAAGUAAUAUCACUGGUAGCAGCUGCAAGACUUCGAUAUUCAGCCUCAGCCGUAGAUUGAGAAACAACUUGUUGUUUCUUAGAGCACCAAGAGACAGAUUAUGACCAUAGUAGAGACAUUAGCCUGUCGUAGACCGUCGAUCAUCAAAAUCCAGUCCCCAGUUGGCAUCAGCAUAUCCAACUAAAGACAGUCUGUCAGAUGGUCGAAAGACUAACCCAUGAUCAAUAGUGCCAUGCAAGUAUCUCAAAAUUUGUUUUAGAGCUACCAUAUGUACAGUAGUAGGAGCAUGCAUGAAUUGACAUACACGAUUCACAACAUAAGCAAUGUUAGGCCUAGUUAAGACCACAUAUUGAAGUACACCGGCAAGACUUCUAUACUCAGUAAGAUUCAGUAAGACGGUCUCCCUCAUAUUUAAACAAAGUAGAAAAACUGACCAUCAGUGUAUAGACACUCUUUGCAUUAGCUAAAUAACUCCUAUCAAGAAAAUCUCGAAUAUAUUUACGUUGACAUAAGUGGAGAUUCCCGAUGGAAGAUUGAGUGACUUCAAUGCCUAAGAAAAAAUAAAGCUCACCCAUGUCUUUAAAUGAAAACUUUUUAUGUAGUUGUUGAAUAAAACUGUUAAUAGCGUCAGCUGAACUACCAGUAACAAUAAUAUCAUCCACAUAUACCAAAACAUAAGUGCUGUAGUUAACGUAACUUGAACAAACAAGGGUGCAUCAGAUUUAGAUAAGACAAAACCACUAGAAACAAGAAAGUGCUUCAAUUUAUCAAACCAAGUACGCAGAGCUUGUCGCAACCCAUAUAAUGCCUUUGUCAGAUGAUAUACCAAGGGCUCACCAAUUGGCCCAGACUGAACAUAGCCUGGCGGUUGCUACAUGAAAACUUCGUCAGAGAAAUCACCAUUUAAAAAAGCAUUGUUCAUAUCGACCUAACGAAGUUUCCAACCCUUGGAGACAGCGGUCGAUAAUAUGGUUCGAAUAGUAGCCGGUUUGACCACUGAACUAAAUGUUUCUUUGAAGUCACACCUAGGUACCUGUGAAAAGCCCUUUGCCACCAAUCGAGCCUUACGCCGAGCAACCAACCUAUCAGGAUUUUUUUUAUUUUGAAAAGCCACUUACACCCAAUCAUUUUUUGACCACGAGGUAACUCAAUAAGCUCCCAGGUAGAGUUAGUCAUUAAGGCAUCAAAUUCAGCUUGUACUGCCACUUUCCAAUUUGGAUGACCAAAAGCUUCUUCAAUUGUGUGUGGCUUAAAGUCGAUGGUUUCAAUAGUUAAAACCUUGGGUUUCAAAAUACCUGUCUUAGACCAUGUAACCAUAGCGUGAGUAUUACCAAAAGGAACAAGCAGUGUAGCCGACGAAACAGGACCGAGCGAGCUAUUCUUGUUUGACAAGGUAGCGAAAAAAUGAAAAAUCACGCAAUCAGAAUCUACUUCAAUUGGUGAUCUAAUAGACACAACCGGUAUGCUAUCACAGGCAGCCGAUAAUGUAACAGGUUCAGAAUGAGAGGUUGAGAAAACUGAAUGAUAGGAACCUACGUGGUGACACGCAGACUAUGCUGGGUAGUGGCCAGUGUAGAUGAAUUAAACAAGAAACAACGUUCAUCAAAAACAACAUGACGAGAGAGAAUAACCUUACCAUCCAGUGUGAGACAAUAAUAGCCUUUAUGUUGUAAACUGUACCCUAGUAAUGUACAUGGCUAGGAACGAAAGUCUAACUUGUGACGUAAAAAAGGGCGAAGAUACGGGAAACAACAGCAACCAAAUACCCUCAAAUGAUCAUAUGUAGACUCCUAACCAUGAAAAGCCUUAUACGAAGAUUGGCCAUUCAGAAUCGGAGUUAGAAGACGAUUUAUGAGGUAAAUAAAACUGCAGAAAGCAUAUCCCUAGUAAUCCAUGGGCAGAUUGGCUUGGGCCAAUAGCGUAAUACCGGUCUUAACAAUGUGACGAUGUUUACGCUUAGCAAUAUCAUUCUGUUCGGACGUAUAUGGACAGGAGAGACGAUGAAGAAUACCAUGAUUAGCUAAAACCGAUGUGAAGGCACAAAACUCACUUCCCCAAUCACUUUGAAAUUUUUAAAUUUCCUUUCCGAAUUGAGUUUUAACCAUUUUUUGAAAUUGAAGAAAGCACUCAACUGCUUGAGAUUUACGUUGAAUCAGAUAAAUCCUCAUGAAACGACAUAGUAUAAUUUACCUCCACAUACAAUAGAAGUUGGGCCCCACAAAUCAGAAACAAUCAAUUCAAAUAAAUCCAUAUAUUUAGUAGUAGAGUGUGAAAAAGGCAAUUUAUGUGACUUCCCUUUUUGACAUGCAAUACAGAUAUUAUCAAGUGAUUUUUUAUUAGUAACAAUUUGACACUUAUCAAAAACAAUUUUAACAGUUGAGGCAAAAAGAUGACCAAGUCUUUGAUGCUACAAUGUAAAAUCAUCAAAAAUCAUCAACAGUGGUAGGACACUUUCAAAUCCUAGUGUUGUGAACAGACAGAGCCAUAGCAGACGAAACGGACGGAAUAGCCAAAAUAUUAUAGAGACCAUCACGAGUGUGGCCCCGUACCAAAAUUUCAUGUAUCUGGAUAUCUUUAAUAACACAAUAAGACGGAUGAAAUUCAAAAAAUACAUUAUUGUCAUUGGUAAACUGAGAGAUAGAUAUAAGAUUCUUCCUGAUGCUCGGCAUGUAUAAAAUAUUGGUCAGAUGUAGUAAUUUUUUCUCUGUAAGUAAAACAGAAUUUCCAAUAUAUGAGAUUUUAGCAAAAGCUCCAUUACCUAUUAAAAUAGAAGAAUUACUUAAGUAUGGGUAGGCUCAUUUAAAUUAGAAGUAUUCUGGCAAACGUGGUGUGUAGCUUCUGAAUCUGGAUAUCACGAUGAAGUUCCAACAGGUAGGGGAAGAUACGAAUCAUUAAAAUUUGAACCAUACUGAGUGGUAUUAGCAUUAGAUCCAGAAGUAGCCAAAAAAUCAGGCACAUUAAACUCUGGAAUACGAGGCAACCCAAUACACAGUGAUGACUCAAAAUUAAUAACUCGGGCUCUUGGUUUAGUCCUCUAUGAAACACUGGGCCCACCAUUUGGUAUAGGAAGUGCAUGACCUUCAAAGCCAACAUAGUUAAUAUUCGGCCCCAUAGCAGGCUGACUAGCACUUGGACCAGCAGCAUCAUGCGUAGCAAAGUUUGGCCCACCAGGAUUCUGCCCACUAAAAUCAGGAGGCCCAGUAGUUCGCCUUGCAGCAGAUGGGGCGUAAGCGUGGGCAGUAGGAAAUGGCCUAAAGUGCUGACCCAUUUUACGCGAUAAGGGAAGAGUCCCAUAUAGACUAUUCGGAUGUAGGCCACCACCAGACCCACUUACACGGCCUGCAUCAGAAAUAAAGUUAGGGUUAAAGAAUGAAAAUCCUGAACAUGUGAUAGACGAGAAAAAUGAUUAUACUGCGAUAACCAUCCUUCCCAGGAGGGACCGCCAGAAAAUGGCAUCGAUGGUUGUCCUGUCGAACUAGCAAAUUGUCUAGUAAAGCCAUCAGACUGUGCAUACUUAUCACCUCAGAAACUUUGGCCAUCAUGAGCAGAGGAGAGACGUUCUAUGGGCGGAGGAGACAGACCGUCGUAAUCCCGAUUGUAACGAUAGAAGUAUUGUUGUACCAGGUGACCAUAGCAACUGCAGAUCUAACAUUAAAUUUGUGGUCGAAAGCCACGCUUACGAGAACCAGAGGAAGAAUGACCGCCGUCACGAGCAGGAUCAGCCACCGUUGUAUUCAAGGGAACUUCAACCAUAUUGGCAUGAAAUGGUGCAUCAUGCACCGCACGAGUUUGUCAACUCUCAGACUCUAGGAGAACCUCAACAAUAUUUUAAAAUGGUAGUGUCUCAGAGGAGAAAGACACUAGCGUUAACACCGAGUCAAAAUUCGAUGAAAGACCAGCAAGUAUAACGUCUACCUUUUCGGCCUUCGGGACGACAGAGUCAAACUCCUCCAACAAAGCAAAGGUAUUUUAGAUCUUGGCAAUAUACUCUUUGACAGUUAAUGCUCCUUUCUUGAUUGAAUGUGGGUCAUACUUAAUUCAAGAAAUUUUAACACCAGUCAUAGUAGUAAAAAGCCAAUUAGCAGUGCUCCAUACUUUACAAGCUGUUUUGGCAUAUGUAAAAUAUGACAAUAACGAUGCACUAAUCGUAGAGAAUAACCAAGAAGCAAGUAACUUAUCUUAUUGAAUGAAGAGAGACGUAUCAAGAUUCGGAGUCAAAACUCCAUCUGGAGAGGUCACAAAGCUAGACAGAAUAGGUAACAUACCGUCUAAAAAACCUUGCAAUUCAUAGCCUUCAAGAUCAACCGUACAUGCUGUUGCCAUCGUACAAAGUUUCCAUCACCUAACUUCACUGUAUCAUGACGAGAAAACGAUUGAAUUAAGCGAGAGCUGGAAAAAGAAGCAACGGAAGUAAAGUCGAUGGAAUUUGCCAUGGAUGCGGCAGAGAGAGGAGGUCCCAGGAACUCAAGCGACUGAUACCAUGUUAGUAACUCUAUUAAAAAUGAUCUAUUGAAAUUGAAUACUAAGAAUAAUUGAGAGAAAAUGAAUUACUAAACAAUAGUAGUAUUUCAUUCUUAUUUGAAUAAGAACAGAGAAGAGUUUAUAUACAAAUGAAAGCUUAACUGUUGCUAACAAUAUUGUAGCUUAGAUAACAAAUUAGUAACAGAUUAAUAACAAACUGCCAGACUACCAGAUCCUAUACUCUAACAAUCUCUAGUGUUUUUUUCUGUGUACCAAUACUUCUAUGCUCUUAAUUAUUCAGAUAGUAUAGAUUCUUCAAGUUGUUGAACGUAGGGACCUCUUACAUUGAUCUGUAUAUAUAGGCAUAGCUUGUAAAGUUUUUCCAUAAAUUUUUUUUGAUAUUUUCUUUGUUGAAAUUAAGAUAUCCAUCAUAGAUAAUAGUGACUAAUUUUCUCGCCAUUGGUCUAUUUAUUAUUUGUUAAUAAAGUUUAAUUUAAACGAGACAUACAUUAUAAUGCUUUCAAUUAAACUCAUAAGUUAAUUGAAUAAUCUAAUAAUGGCUUGAAUUAAACUCAUGACUAAAUGAUUGAAUAAUGGAAAUCAUGUACUCUCUAUUGAAGAAGUAAAGAAGCACAAUUAAUAAAGAAUUUAAGAUAUUUUUGUGAUAAAAUAAAACAAAUAAAUUAAAUUAACUACACAAUGAUUCUUUGAGCAAGACUGUCACUUUGCUUAGGAGAAAGUUCUACCAUCUCUUUAGGAAUCUCCUCAAAUAUCUUUAAUAUUUGAUUUGUAUAAAAAUCUAUUUUGGCCAAGCAGUGAGCAGUUUUAUUAUAGUCCCUAGGAAAAUGUUGAAUGACCCAGGAUUUUACAUUCAUCAACAGGUGAUGAAUAUGUCUAAUGAGGGCAGAAUUUGAAUUUGUUUGAGACGAAUCCUGAAUGGCCUUGACCACCUCAAGCUAUCUAUUUGAAUCAUCACACCAUCAUACCGCUUAUUUUGGAUGAGAGCCAGUUCAUCAAGAAUACCCCACAAUUCAGCAUCAAAGACUAAGCACUUGCCUAGAUAUCUGUUAUAUCCCAUAAUCCACUCCCCAUUUCCAUUUCUUAUGACUCCCCCCGUAGCAUUUUCAUAAACAAUUUGAACCGCCCUAUCAGUACAAAGACUAAUCUAAAUUUUCGAUACCUGAGCUGAUGAAAUUUGUUUAUUCCAUUUAGAUACGUCCUCCUAUGAAAAGAAGCAAACUGUUUUGCCCAUAUAUAUGAAAUCUUUACAAUCUCACCUAUAUUCCAAGAGACACCAUGAAAAAGAAAAUUGUUUCGAUUUUUCCAAAUUCUCCAAGUUAGUAAAUCAAAUAAACAUGACCAAUUUACCGCACCGAUGACUGAUUUAGCAAGAUUGCAAAUUAGACUUUAACCACGGAAUAAAGUCUCUUGUAAAGAAGCGCCCACUGGUUCCAUCUGGAAUAACUUGCAUCCAAAUUUCUUUAGCCGUCGGACAGUCUCUGAUAACAUGCAAAAUAUCUUCAGGAUGAUAGCCACAUAAACCACAAGAGCUAUCAUGCCCUAUUCCCUGCUUAACACGCUCCAAGUUAGUCAGUAAUUUCUAAUUUAAAACAAACCAUAAGAAGAAUCUGACUCUUUGAGGUCCUUGAAAUUUCCAUGGUAUAUUCUAUUUUACAUCUUUUGGUUUUCACAAACUUUCCCGAAUAUGCUAAUAAGCACUUUUAAGAGAGAAGAUACCAUUUGAAGUCCUAGCCCAAAUAAUUUUGUCAAGACUUGCAGACGGGUGGGGUGGUGACUACCCACAAUGUGUCUAAUAAUUUCUUUUGGCAACCAUAGACGAAAAAAAAUCUAAAUUCCAAAAGCCCUCCACAUUGACCAUUUCACUAAGCAUAUAGACUAAAUAAUUUAAGAUUUUUAGUAAAGACUAAGAAACAAAUCACCGUUCAGGGAUGAAACUUACAACUUGAUUUCUCCUCGAAUGAAUUAUAAGCCAAAAAAAACCAUGAACUAGAAUAAAAGAUUAAUCUCUAUCGGACAAAGAGAGUUAAAGGUAAAGCCCUUUCAACAAGUGUUGCUUCUUAAGAUUCGAACUUAUAUUCUCAUCUUUGUAGAGGCAAGACUGCUACCAUCUCAACAUUAAUCAUGUGUAAAAUAUUAUAUAUUUAAUUAAUCAUGUUUAAAAUAAAACAAAACUAUGAUAGAUUUAAGUGAAUAGGGUAGGAUUGCAAUAGUACGUACUUAACUCAUAUUUUAUUGGUCUUAAUUAUUGAUUAUGGUACACUAUUAAUAGAGGCUUUAGGCUCCACAAGUAAAGUAAAAUUGACAAAUUUCUUAUAAAGUAUAGUAAAAUAUUAAAAAAUAAUAAAUAUUUUUAAAAAGAGACACAUAACAAUUUUUUAAAGUUUUUUUUUAGUAUUAUGCAUAUAUAUUUUACAAUCCAUAUUCGGGGUUUCUAGCUGCCCCUUUUAACAAUGUUGUCUUUAAAGUUCAAACAUAUGUUCUUCCCUUAAAAGUACAAUGUAUCUUACCAUUACACCUAACUACUUAUUUAUAGUAUUAACUCUUUUAAUAAUAUGUGUAUCAUGUCAAUGUUUAUGUUAAUGUUUAUAUCAUAUUUUAUAUUUUUACUCGUACAUAAUCGAAGUAUUUUUUUAAAAAAAAUUUAUAUGGUAAAAACAAUUCUGAUCAUUAAAUUUUCAUUCAAUGAGGAACAUUAUAUUUAAUUAAAGAAUUCAAAGGUGCAAAUGAGAUCUUGACUUCAUGUGAAAGAGAAGGCAAGGUUCUCAUUAUGAGUCAGUUUAGUAUUUAUAGAGUAUGGUUUCAUGAUUGAGAGCCAACCAAUAUUAGGAAAAUGUCUCCAUUCUAAUAUAUCUGGGAAUAGGGGAAUGGAUGGAUGAUUGAAAUGAUUUAUUAUUGUUUAAUUCAAGCGUUGUUAAGAAAAAAAGAGUGAAAAUCUACAUUAAAUAUAGAUUAUCUCAUAUUUAACCACAAGAAGAUCUAAAUAUCAUUCAAUUGAACUACUACAUGAAAUACACAAUGAAGACCAACAGAUAACAAAAACAAAUUAAAAACAUAUCAUUUGCAGACCAAAAGAAAAACAUUUAAGCUACACACAGAUUGACAUUUUCAAAUGUUCUUUAAGCUGUAAACUUGGGACAUGGAGGGAUAUGUCUAGUCGCGGAUCUUUUUGUAAAGUGUGAAGGUUGAUAUCAUUGAGAGCAACACCAGAAGGAUGGCAGCAAACAAUGAGAGUGCAAGCGAGCUCGCUGUGUAUCGACAGAACUUGUCGUAGACAUUGCAGAUUUUGGUCCACCCGACGUGAGUGUUGCCCUUUAAUCCGAUAUAACCGACGGCCCCUGCUGCACCGGUUGCAGAGGCCACGAUCCCGACAAAUAUCUGCAUGUUAUAGUUGGGAGUCAAAAUCGGUCAUCAAUUAUCUAUGGUUGAACUAGUGUUCUCGAUUAGACUCAGGAGCUACUUGAAUAAAGUAUUAAGAUGCUUGAAUUCUACUCGAUAAAUAGAUAAUUAAAACAAAUUUAAAUUUCCGAAUCACACACGAAUGACUUACCACAUCGAAGAAAGCAAAAAAGAGCAAGAAGGUUUUGGAAUAGGUAGGGUUAAGGACGAUUGAAAGUGAUGCCAACGUAGUGAUAAUGCUGUAGAAGCCUGUUACUGAUAAUGCUGCUAUGAAAUAUCUGCACAAAUGAUACAUAAUUUAACAAAAUACAAAAGAUAUUAUAUAUAUAUAUAUUAUGUUCUAUUUUCUUUGGCAGCAUGGGUUUUUAAUAUUGCAAACUAUUAAAAAAAUUUAGUUUCAUUCUAUUACAAAAAUUAUUCAAAAAGCUUUAGAUAAAUUUAUUUGGUACAAAACCCUUUUUCCAAUGAUUCUCAUCAAUCAAGCAUUAUAGCAAAUAAUCUUUUAACAAAUUCUUAAUAGUUGGUUUAAAGUAAUUUUUUAACAUAAAAUAUUUAUUUUUAACCCCAAUAUUUAUAUUUUUAUUUCAGCCCUAAUCAAAAUUCCUGAAUUUUUCCUUAUAUUUAAGAAAUAACUUACAUUGAGAUUUUGUUUUUCUUUUAUCUUAUAUAUAGAUUUAAAACAUAUAAAAGUUUUAUUAAACUAAAUUCACAAGAAUGCAAUUAUUGAGAUUAGCGACCUCCAUAUCACACAUUAUCUUUCAUUUAAAGAGUCAAGUUUAUAUUUCUUUUUACCUGUACCCCUUUUGCCGUAUGGUCAUGGAUAAGCUCAAAUGUUUGGCAUGUGAUAGCUAUGGGAGUAGGACACAAGAUUAUUAUUUACUUUGUUUGCCAUUUGAAAUUUCAACAAGAAAUUUCCACAUUGCAGCCAAAAUGUGUAAUGUUCCUAUUCUGUUUUUUAGCUAAGCCCCUCUUGAGAUUUUUUUUAGGCUUAAUAUUUAUUUUUUCCUUUGUCCUAUAUAGAAAUUCUUAUUUUCGGUUAGUUUAUCUCUUUACUUUUACUAUGUUCAUCACUUUAGCUCCUUCACCAUUUCUGUUUAAAAAAAAAAUCUCACUUAUCAAAUGUGAACAUUUGGAUAAUAAUAAAAGGCUCGAGGUGAGAGUAUCACUGUAGUAUAGAUAUGAAAGUGAAAAUUUCACUAUAAUACAAAUCAAAAUAGACAUUUAGCCUAUUAUCAAGGGGUAAACAUGUGAAUAUAUGGGACUUUUUUUCCAAAAUAAAAUUUUUAAGGUUCAGAAUAGGUAUUAAAUUUUUUCUUAAAUAACAAAGGAUAUGAUGUUUUAGUUAGUAUUGUAAAUAUCAAAGUUCCAACUUCAAAUUUUCAAUGUCAGUUUGUAAGUGUGGUUAUGAUUCUUUUGAGAGAUUUUGUGAUUACUUCAUGUUAAUCAAGAGAUUAACAAAAGUUUUGCAAAAAUUGCAUGCAACCUAUAUGAAUUAAUAUUUAAAUGAGAUUAUGAAUAAAAAAUAUAAUUACGUAAUAAAUAUAUUUAUAAAAUUUAAUAUAAUUAUAUUUUAAUUGAAUGGUAAAAUUUAAAUGUUGAAAAUUAUAUAGUCCUGAAUUUAGGCCUUAUUUUGUGAAUUUUAUAUUUCUAUUUUUUAUAUAAAAACGCUGAAAAUAAUAUAAUUUAUUUUGUAUAGUUUGAAUAUUUUCGUCAUCAUUUAAUUGAAUUAAUAUCCAGUUAAGUUACGAUAACAAACUCAAUAAAUGUUUAAUGUUAAUAGAGAUAAAUAUAAAUUAUACUUACACGAGGGCAGGUGAAUGAUUGAACUUUGCUUGGAGUUGGAUCCUAACUAAAGGGAAGCCUGGCACUGGAACCAGCUCGGUUUCCUUGCUGGUAGCCAUGACCACCACUGAAGUUAGAGUAGCGGCAAAUAAUAAGACCCGAAGAACAAC
rnacentral:lncRNA from 1 species